rnacentral:lncRNA from 1 species
AUUUGACCCCUAAACUUUUGCAUAUUUGCACUUUUUCCCCAAGGUUCGGAAAUUAAACUUCUUCCUAUUUUCUUAUGUUUUAUGACAUGGUGAUCAUUUUUCCCUUCUAUGGCAACAUCAAAUUCUCACUCUAACAUGUACUUAUGAACAUUAGGUAUUUUUAACGAUUAUACCGUUUUACUCGUUUUCACGUAAAAUCGCUUAGCAAAAGUUGUUUAACAUAAUUUCAAGCUUCAUAUUCUACCAUUAAACAUCAAAAUACAUGCAUAUCAUUUAUAGGUAAAUUUUUAAACAUAAAUCCUAGCUCAAAAUAAUGGUAGAAAUGAGCAGAUCGUUACCAGGAUUUCAAAAAUACAUAGAACAUUAAAAACGGAGCUCAGAAUCACUUACUAUUAAAGUUGGAAGCUUGGCCAAACCCUAACCAUGGCUGCUCUUGGUACAUUCUGCUGUAGUAAGAAGAAAGGGACACAUUUGGAGUUUAAAGUUUGUCUUUUAAUUCAUUUUACCCCUAAAUGACCAAAAUACCCUUUUUACCAUUCUUUCAAAUUUUACCCAAUUAAGGCUAUUUUUGUCCAAAAAGUUAUAAAAUAGUUUAAUUAUCAUUUAAGGACCUCCCAUUUAAAAUUUCAUAACAAUUUGAUACUUCUAACAUGUAGAACUCAACUUUUGCACUUUUUACAAUUUAGUCCUUUUUACUAAAUUGAGUGCCCAAACGUUGAAAUUUUCACGUAAUCAUUUUAUGAAAUCGUAGACCAUAAAAAUGAAAUUUUCCUAAUCGGAUUUGUGAUCCCGAAACCACUGUUCCGACUAAGCCCAAAAUCAAGAUGUUACAAUGCUUCUACUGUCAACUAAAGAUCUUAAUUGUUGCUCUUGUAUGUUGUUGACAUAUUAUAGUAUUUUAAUCUUAUCAAUAUAAUAUUUAAAUUAUCUAAAUGGUUUUAGAUAAAAGUAAAAUGUAAUUAUUUAAUUUUAAAAAAUAGAGAUAACUUAUUCAAACUAUAAUUUUUAAAAAAUAAAAUAAAAUCAAGCUUACAUUUUUAGCCUUUAAGACAUUACCUAUGUAUCUAUUUAAGGUAAAUUAUACAAAUAGCCACCUAAUUAUGUCUAUGUUCCUGUUUUGGUCACUCAACUUUAAAAAAUUUCAAUUUAGGUACUAAUUUAUUUUUUGGUUCUUGUUUUUGGUCACUCGCCAUUAAAUUGAUAAUUGAAAGUCUUUUUCUAACUGAUAUAAUAACACAUUUAGUCGUCAAUACUUAUAUUUUUUUAUCAAUUUGAUCUAAUUCUAAAUAAUUUCAAUAAAUUUAACCCUUUUAUUUACAAAUUCUAUCAGUUUGAUCCUCAAACUUUCUAACCAAAGCUCUCAACUUUUAAAAUAGAGACAUUCCACAUCUAUAAAUUUAUAAAACCCAAGAAGAAAGAAAUUCUCCAAUUAUAUAAAUAUAACGUACUUGUAAUAUAAAUAUUUUACAUCCAUUUCUCCAUCACUCAUAUUUUCAAUAAUAUCCCUCCAUUGAGAUUUUCUAACCUAAAAGUAUUCAAGAGGAAAUUAUAAUAAUAAGCGUAAAUCAAUAAAUCCUAAAAGGUAAGUUAUAAUGCUUCCACACCCAAAUCUUUUAUUUCAAUGCAAUUAAUUUUAAUUUUAAUUUUAAUUUUGUGUAAAUGUGAACUUCUUAUAAAAUUUAUUUUCUUUUUUGGUUUUUGGAUAUUAAAUUUGAGAUAAAAAAAAAUAAGUACAUAUAUUAAAUUAAAGUUUAUUGUUGAGUUUAGUAUUUUCACUAUCCAUAUAUAAAUAUAUAUUUAAUAAAAUAAAAAAGUAAAAAGUAAAUUAAACAUGCAAUAUAUUUUUAAACUUUACUUAAAAAAAAUUUUAAACUUUCACUAUCCAUACAUGGGAUGAUAAUCCUUGAAUCAAAAUAAAUUUUUUUUAUUAACAUAUUUGGCAGAAUUAGGUAAGUUUUUUUCUUCUUUUCUAUUUGAGUUUCUAUAAAUUUAUAGACGUGGAAUGCCUUUAUUUUAAAAGGCAAAAAUUUUGGUUAGGAAGUUUGAGGAUUAAAAUGAUGAAAUUUGUAAAUGUAAAAAGUUAAAAUUAUUAAUUUAUUUAGAAUUAGGAUCAAAUUGAUAGAAUAUGUAAGUAUCAAGGACUAAAUUGUUAUCAUACCAAUUACAAAAAGUAGCGCUAUUAUUUCUUUUAUCAAUUUAACGGUGAGAGACCAAAAUAUGAACGAAUACAAAGUUCAGUACUUUAAUUGAAAAAUUUUAAAGCUGAGUGACUAAAACAGGAACAUGAACAUAGUUGAGUUUCACAUAUUUAUUUAUCUUAUUUAAUACUUCAAAAUUUUGUUUCAAGCAAGAUUUUACAAAUUUAAACUUUGGUUUAAACGCAUACUAAGGAACUUUUAAAUUUGUUUAAAUUUUGUUUUAAGCAAAAUUAGUUUUCAUGGACAAUUUAAACACAUAUUAAGGAACUUUUUCAUAUUUUGUUUAUAAUAGAAAAAACUUUUUUUUAUACAAUAUUGAGGGUAGGGAUGAGAGUCACACGGUUUAAAACCAUAUGUUGUAUCAAAUGGAUAUCCAAAAAAAUUUUAAAGUAUCAAUUUAUACAUGUCAAGACAAUUGAAAGAAGUUGAAACUACAAUGAUUUUUAAUUGGCCCUUCAACUUUUACAAAAAAAAUUAUUUUUAUCCCUCAAUUUAAUUUUUCGCACGAUGUUACAUAAAAUUAAUUAAAUAUUAAUGUAUCAUCUAUGUGACAAUAAAAAAAUAAAUAAAAGAUUAAAAUAAAUUUUCUUUUUGUAAAAUUAAAAUAUCAAAUAAAUUAUUAUACCAUUUAGCAGCAUUGCAUUGUAGAAAAAAGAAUAAUAAUAAUAGAUAUUAAUAUUCAGAUGUUAUAUAAAAAGAAUCUGAUUCUAAUUUUUUUUGGGAAAAUAAAUAGUUUUCAAUGUAGUUUAUGUAAUAAGAAUGAAUAUUGAUUAUUAAAAAAAAAAAAAAACCAAUCUCUAAGAAAGUUAAAACAUUUGAACAUACCUAAAUUAAUAACUAUUAAGAGAUUCAUGGUUUCAAAGACUUAUCCUUUUCCCUACAAAAUUAGUAAAAGAAAUGAAGCUUAUAGAAUUAUUUAUACGAAUUCGAAUUGUAUAGUGGUAUAAUUAUAGUUGUGCUUUAUUUCUAAUGGAAAAGAGAGAGAAAUAUAUGUGCUUUAUUUCCCACUCUAAACCAAUAAAGUCGCUUGUUCAACUUGUACAUGAAGUACUUGCUUUAGAGAAGUCAAGUAGUCAAGAUUUUUCGAUUAAGGGAGACAUUACCACUUAAUGAAGUAGUUGAAUCAGGGUAGGGCUCUUCAUUGCUAAAUUACUUGAAAAGCCAUGCCGGUUACUCCAUUUUGUUAAAAGAAAAAAAAAGAAAAGAAAAAACUUGUGGAGUGUAGUCAUAGUCUUUCGGUACCCAUCAUGGCUCAAAUCACACCAUCAUCUGAUCUUGAUUUUGUUGAUGAUUUUUACUACUCGGCACUCUUUGAUGAAGACGAACAUGAAAUCUUUCCACCAUCUGACGACAAGUAUGCCGAGGAGUUGCAGUUUCAAGAGGCUCUCAUGUCAUCCACCGUCUUUUCCGAAAUGGGUAACAAUGACAUCUGCAACCCAUGGAUCGCCCAUGCUUCAUCACCCCUGUUAAUCCAAGCCCUGCCUCAGCCCGAGUUACUGGAGAUGGAAACAGAGGAAAGCGGUGAAUCCUCCUUAAGCUUCUGCGAGAUUUGCGUCGAAAGGAAAGAAAACGAUCAGAUGUUCACUACGCAAAGCUGCAACCACUCUUACUGCUCCGAUUGCAUUAGCAAGCAUGUUUCGACGAGGGUUGAAGAAAACUUAACCGUAGUAAGGUGCCCUGGAGUGCAUUGCGAGACUGUCUUGGAACUCGAUGAGUGUAGGCCUCUGCUUCCGGAGGUGGUAAUCCAUCGGUGGGAAGAUGCUCUCUGUCAGGAGUUUAUUAAUGCAUCCCAGAGAUUUUAUUGCCCGUUCAGGGAUUGUUCAGCCUUACUUCUGAAUGAUGGGGGUGAAGUUAUUAGAGAAGCGGAGUGCCCAUUCUGCCACAAAUUGUUUUGUGCGCAGUGUUAUGUGCCAUGGCAUCCAGGGAUUACAUGUGAGGAUUUCCAGAGGCUUAAUGAGGAUGAAAGAGGGAGAGAAGAUCUCAUGGUGAGGGAACUUGCCCAGGAGAAAAAAUGGGCUAGGUGCCCCAAGUGCAAAUACUAUGUUGAAAGAACAGUAGGUUGCCCACACAUGGUUUGCAGGUCAGUUAAUAUUCUAGUCAUUUAUAAUACUAUUCAUCAAUGAUACUGAAUGAUUGCCCUUGUCUUUGGAAUUUGGAUGAUUAGAUUUUUUUUAUGCUCUAUAUGCUGGAACGUGAUAAAUUCCCUUGAGCUCAUAUAGAUGUGUUAAAACUAGACUAUUUUAGACUUAUGGAACUGAAAAUGAUUUAAAGCUUCCUAAAAAGAGUACUUGGAGUUGAUUAAGGGAGUUGUCCUAUGAUUUUGGUCGCAGGUGUCAGUUCGAGUUUUGUUAUGGUUGUGGAGAAAAGUGGAGUAACACUCAUGGUGGCUGCCAAAGGAAUUAAGAACACAAUAACUCAACAAUACCACAGUAAAUGUUAUCAUCUUUUAAGUUGUUUUUAGUCUCUUUAAAGAAACUAUUUGCAUCAGAUGUGCAGUAAGUUUAAUUUGGUCUAAUGUUCUUAGUUUACGACACAUCAGAUAUAACUGAUGUAAUGAGGUAUGAACUAUUUGUUCGAUUUAGUACUGAGAAUUUGCUUGUUAUUACUCUUAUUUGUGAAUGAUGUUUAUCCAUUGGAGCUUGUUCUUGAUUGAUGAAGAUUGUGGUUCAUUGAGGUAGUCUUUGUGUUCAACUUACAUGCUAAAAUACACAUUAAAACACAGGUAUUGAACCUUAUGAACUGUAUCCUAGAAGCUUUAUGAAAGAAAAAGCUCUAGAAACAGGUUAGCAAUCUUAGUAUUUCACUAAAGCCUAGCAAAAGAUUAAACUGCUAAAAUACCCUUUCAUAACAAUACUUAAUCGAAAAGGAUUCAUAUUUUUUAGGCAAAAUAGAUAAAACCUUAAAAGAAACUUUUUUUUUCAGGUGGGAUUAAAAGAGGAGAAUAAAGUUGAAAUUAGAAAAAGGAAGAACAUAAAUUCAGUCACAGCCUUUUCUUUUCCUGUGCUACUGCAUUCUGUGUGUUGUACUAUGUUCUGAUCAGUUUUAACAGAGGCAGGCAAAUAUAGCUAUACUGAGAAAAAUAGCUCCUUUUUUGCUGCUGAAGUUCCUUUGUGUGCUAAUAUUGUGCCAAUCUUACAUAUAGGUCUUUGGUCAAUUACAUUAUAUAAUUUUAGGCACUUUCCAAUACUCAUAUACCCUUGGGAUAACUUUUAAGAACCAAACUUGAAAGUUCGGUCUGAAAGUAGAAGCAAGCAAGCAGAACGGCUAAUGUCCCACUAUCAUAAAAAGGACAUUAAAAGUGCAGUGAAUCUCCUUGUUUCGUUCUCUCGUAGGAAUUUCGCUUCCUUUGCGAGAAGGAAAUCAAUUCUUUAGUAAACACUAUGAGGUCUCCGUCUACUAUCUAUCUCGCACUUCUAUUCAAUAUCACGGCUACGCGUUUGUCAUUGACCUGCACCGGCAUAGGGUCAACGUGCUACACGAAAAUCAGUGAAGGGCCAGGCGUGCACGCGCUUAAAGUUGAACUUGUGACUCGGAUUGAGCUCCUCUUGCUGCACUGUGGGUUAACAAAUAUAAUGGAAAUCAUAUAUCAAUUAAUAAAUUUGAGGUUUUCAUCUUAAUAAAUAUAGUAGUGAUGGCCUAAAAAUUUGUGGUCCAAAGUCCAUUCGCAACAGAUACAUCGAACAUAUGUGCACCUGGCCCAUCGUAACCCCAUGCAAGCCGAAUCACCUUCCAGCUAAUUAUGGUUCUAAUUCAGUGCUCUAUCACUUUCUACAAGAAAGUGUAUAAUCUCUAUUUUCACUUGGUGCCAAUACGUUGGCUUGUGAGACAACAAAGCCUUCGCUCCAUAUUGAGGGUAAAAUAAGGUAGGAACUUGUUCACCCUAAUGAUGAUGAGUUCUAAGAACUAUAGCAAUAGAAUCAUUGCAGAUAAUGUUUAAUUGCCCUUUUUAUGACGCACACCAAAAUCUACAAAAAUGACAAAAGCUUUGUUCAUCUUCUGGGAUGGGUCCAUCCUUCUACUAGUGUUUUAGCUUUUUGUUGGUUAGUGACAACAAUCACAUAAAAAAUUUGACUAAGAUUCUGCAGCAAGAACCACAUUUUCGCAGGCAAGUUACAAAAGGAUGUUUGCUAUUUACUGCGUAGAAAAGUCAAAACUGUUGGAAUAUGCAUUGCUUUGCUGCCAGAUGUCAAAUAGGACUUGGCUUCAUUGCUAUUUCCCUUACGAAGUUACCCAAUAAAUUUGGACACCGUAUAUAAGAUAAAUAUAUAUAUAUACUUGGAGUUGGAGUAUCAGAUUUUCAUACUAUAUCUUCAUAUAUGUUCAAGUACAUCUAUUGAAGAUGGAUAUUUAAAAAUAAAAUAAGUGCAAAUAAUGUAGGUAAAACUUAAAAGCACAAGUCAAAGCUUCAUAUCCACUUAUAUUUAUUUAUUUGUUGAUAAAUUGCGUGGAUCGUAAUGGACAUUUUCCUAGAAAGUUACGCGAAAGUUAGAAUCAGAAACGGACAUGUUCCUAGCAAGUUAGUUUCAAAGCUACGCCCAUAUAUAUACCAAUGGCUAGUUAACUUAAAAGGGGAAAAAAGAUUGGUGUUGUAAUUAAGUGCUUGUAACAUGGCAAAAGUUUCAUCUGAUUUCGAUUUUGCAGAAGAGGUUUAUUGGUCAGUCCUUGAUGGAAACGAAGGAGGUAAUUUGGAAGACUUAGAUGCCCUGUUAGCUGAAAAGUUGCAAUUUCAAGAAGCAAUACUCUUGUCGGUCAGAGAAAACGUCUCAUCUUCGUCCUCAACCUCAAGCUUAACGUUGCAGGUGACAAGUUCGUCGAUGCCUAAGCACAAGAAGCCAGGGAAAUCUAAAAAAAGAGUCGGUCCAUCCUCCUUAAGUUACUGUGAGAUAUGUUAUGAUAGAAAAGAAAGGCAUCAAAUGUUCAGAAUCUCGGGUUGCUCUCAUUCAUUUUGUGCUGAUUGUAUUAGCACAUACGUAAAGACAAGGCUGGAGCAAAACAUAACCAUAAUCAUGUGCCCAAGGGAGAACUGCAAAGUCCCAUUGGAGCUUGAAGCGUGUAAGCCUCGGUUUCCUAAAGAGGUGAUCGAACUUUGGGGGGAUUUACUACGCGACGAACUACUUUGUGCGACGGGUGGGCAACUUUACUGUCCUUUCAAAGAUUGUUCAGCUUUGUUGCUGAAUGAUAACCAAGAAGUCAUAGCAGAAACAGAGUGCCCCUACUGCCACAGGUUGCUCUGUGCUCGAUGUAAAGUUUCAUGGCAUUCAGGGAUCAGCUGUGAGGAAUAUCAGAAGCUGAGUGAAGAUGAGAGAGGAAGUGAAGACCUGAUGGUAAGGAACCUUGCCAAAGAGAAAAAAUGGAAUCGUUGUCCUCGUUGCCAUAUCAUAGUUGAAAGAACCGAAGGUUGCCUACAUAUGACUUGCUGGUAAGUCUAUGAAUUAUACUUGUUUGCUUGCUUAGAAAGUAAUUCGAGAAAUUCGUGCUGUUUCGUUAUGCGUCUAAUUACGAAUCUUGUUGACGCUUGUGGUUGCAGGUGUAAGUACGAAUUUUGUUAUGCGUGUGGAGCAGAGUGGACUCAUGAUCAUGGUGGCUGUCAGGGCAACUGAGAAGACAAAAGUAUAGAAUGUAGAUAUGACAAGGAUAACAUAAGAAUGAGAAACAGCAGUUAGUGAUUUUGUGUUUCUUUUUUCAAUAAUUGGAAGUCACUCUUAGCAGUCAGAUGGAAACCAAGAGAACUUGUCCUGAAGUUUGGGUUUUCUGUUAAAUGCUUUGGUACAGAAUUUGUCACUUUCUGAAUGUCGUUUGGCUUUGUUUUGCUGCAAUCUGGAAGUAAUUUUAAAGAAAUUUCUGCAAAAUUGAGCACUCUUUUAAGUUACCAGAUUACUUUCAACAAGUGGAAUCCACACGUCUUGGAUUCAUUUUUCCUUGAUUUGAAAUAAAAGCAAAAAGGCUAAGAAAAUUCUACAUAGAGAAGGAACAAUUAGAGUCAAAUUAAUGUCAAGGUUACUGGAUUUAGGGUCAUUUCAGAGCUUAGCAUGAACCCUGGCUUGGACCUACAUCCAAUUGAAUUUUCUUGCUGAUGUCUCAUUAACAUAAACUAGAUUUUAGUUUUCACCCAAUCAUCCAUAAAACAAAAUAAAUAAGGUAGAUUUUUCCAAACCUAACCAAUCCAUAUUCCACAUGAAUUAUGUCGAUAUGAUAGCAACCCAUUUAUUAUUGAACCCAAAAAAAAAAUAGCAACUCUCACAAUAUAUUUGAUGCAUUGUAAUGAAAUAAAGUAAAAAUGGAAUAGCUAUUUGAUAAAAAUGAAAUACAAAAGUGAUAAAAGGACUAAAUAAUUUGGUUGACUUAGUGAAAUAAAUAAAUGAUUAUAUAUAUAAUGGAUUAAAUAUUUUUAAAGAAUAGGUAAGUAAUAAGUAUAAUAUUAUAAUAUUAUCCUCUUUAAAUAAAUUAUAUUUAUCCAAAAAUAAAAGGAGGAGUUGAAUUGGUAUUUUAAAAUUUUAACAAAUUUUUCUUAAAUUAAGGAAUCUAAAUAAAGAAAAGCUUAGGCAAUUAAUUUAGUGAUUCAACCCCGAUUACUUGCCUCCACUAUCUUUUUAUACCUUAACCAAAUAUUUCUCAAUUUAUUAUAUUUAAAUUAAUAGCUUUUAAGAAAAAUGUACAACCUUUCCAAUCUCUAUCAUUUCACAAGGCUAAAUUUUUAUGGCUCAACUAUUCUUUACAAUUCUGUUACGGUUUUCUACCCAAAAAACUUAAGUAUACUCAUUUUAAUUUUAAUGAGAAAAUAUGUAAACCAUAAAUAGCUCUCAAAGAUAUGUGCUUACAAAUGUUAGCUCAUUUAAACAAUAAAAGUUAGAACGAUAAAAGAUAUUACAAUAAAUACCUAAAAGACAAUGUACAAAAAAUUAUGAAAAAUGAAUAUCUAAAGUGAAUUCUCUUGAUUUCAAUACUAGGAUGCGUCUCAAUAAUAUCUUAAGUAUUUUUAACUUGUAUUUAUAUUCCCUACAUUUAUACAUGCAAAAGGAAGUUACUAACCGUUUGGAGCAUUUGAAAAAUAAUUUAAAAUUAUUUUACUUCACUAAAACUUUAGAAAUUCAAUUUUCAUAGCUUAUAAGCAAUGUUUCUCCUUUUUUGGUAUAUAAAAAAAAUUAGUAAUAUGAAAAAGUCAACAAUACCGAUUGAAUAAACAUUUGAAAUCAAGAGUCGGAUAUUCCGUAAACAUUCAAUGAUAUAUGACAAAAAUAAACAUCAUGCAAGAACCGCCCAACAAAAAAUAACGCGGCAACAAGGCAUCAAAAUAUCCAACAAAAAGAGCCAUGCAAAUCGAAAAUAUGUGACAAAAGCCUAAUAUCGACAAGAAUAAUAUCCAAUAUAAACGAAGGUCAUAAAAGUGAAUCAAAACAAGGAAAGAGAGCAAUUCUAAACAGAAUCAACAAGUCAGCCACAAAAUCCACAUCUAAAACAACCACUAAUCGUCUGAUGAAGGCGGAGGAGGGAAACGUGACACUAUUUGAGCCAUUUGAUCCUCCAAAUAAAAAAUCCGAGGCAUUAAGGCAUCGAAACGAGCAUCUACAUGCUGGGAAAGACCAUGAAUGGCAUCAAGGAUGGCCGAAGUGCGAGGUGACGGUGGUGGAGGUAAGGCAAGUACCUCCUCCUCGGGUUGUACUUCUUGUGAUUGUUGUGCCGCUGCCGCCUGUAGUUUGUCUUUAUGAACCCAUUUACCAUCCUCCUUACAGUAGCCACAACUAUGAACAGAGGAAACAUCGAUGAAGCUAUUGAUGGCUCGACCCGGAUCAACAGACACCUUGAGUUUAAGUUGGCGAAAGAUGAAAGAGAGAAAGGUCCCAUACUUAAGGGUUUUGUUGCUAGAGAGGGGCCAACGAACAACCUCAAUCAUGUUAAGGAACAUGAGGACCGGGAGGUUAAGAUGAUGCUUAGUUUGAAAACAAUGAAUGAACCAAUAAUCGGUUUUGCGCAAGAUCGUAUGCUUGUUUGUAGGAUUAAUGGUCCAAGUGAGGAUGAGAUGAAGGAUCCGAUCAUGUAAUUCUAAAUCACUAGCAUGAUCAUCUUUAAGGAUUAAGGUCGAAGGGAAAGAACCUAAAAAAGUCGGAUCACCAUCGAGAGGAAUCCUAAGGUAUUGAGACAAAAUGGCAGGGGUAAUGGUUACUUUCUCACCCAUGACAUACGAAGUGAUUGCAGUAACAGUUUUACCAUCAUCACCGUAUUUGAAUUCGGCGUUAAAGUAAAAGACUCGGACGAGGUUGUCAUGACAAGUGCCAGUAAGUUGGAGGCAAUAAAGCCAACCCCAUUCGUUCAAGGUGGGAAGGUGUCGAAAAUCGAGUUCAUCGCGAAGAAAGGGAAGGUCAAUAGGGCGAGAAAUAUGGACAUUUCGAGUAGCAAAGGAAGUCUUGAAUUUAUUAAGAUCGUCAUGACUGCGGAAGCAAUCAGAUCCGGACGAUGGAUAAACCGCACUAGAUGACGCAUCAUCCGUCCUAGCCCUCUUCUUAGUAGCUCUAUUAUAGGAGGUAUGAGGAGGCAUGGUAAACAAUUUUUUGUACGAGUAAGGGAAGAGUAAGUGUGCCAGGUGAAGACUAAGGAGUACUAAAAAACGAACCAAGACAACAUAAGAAGGAUAGAAGAAAACCUGCGAAAACAAGCACAAUCAAUCGAUACUUCAAAAGCAGCAGCCUAAUGUAACAGUAUACAAAAUCUUUAAUAUUUUUUUAAUUUAUACACAUAUUAUAUAUGAGUGAAUAUGAAUUAUAGAAAUAUAAGUUUUUAACUCAUAUAUACAAAUAUACGUAACAAAAAAUGGAAAUCGAAGAAAAUGAAUAAAAAAAUAAGAAUAAAUAAUAAUGUGAUGGUUCCAAAAUAAAAAUAAAAAAAUCCAAACAUACUAGACACGAAAAUAUUUUAUAUAGAAUUACCACUAAUCAUUUUAGAUUAAAUGUGAUUAGACACUUAUUGAACAUAUGGAUAAAAAUUAGCACCCUGCAACCCCUGUUCUAAUGGACAAUACCACAUUAGUAGUGUCUAAAAUUUUGAUUAUUAUUCUAAGUUAUUCUUAUCUAAUUUGACUAUAAUUACUUAAAUUAAUUUUAAAGAAAUUCACAUACUUCAUUUUUUUUUAAAUUUUUUAAGAGAUACGUCUCAACCAUUUACAAGAUACCUUUUCCGAGACUUAAAAUGUUUGAAAAUGAUUUUGGAAAAAAAAUAACUUAUUCAUGAAAUAAUUUUUUUUAAAUAAUCUGAAAAUACUUUGAUUGUUAGUUUAGGAAUAAACUCAAAACUUUUGGGGCGAAAAACUCUUUGUUUAUUAUUAAUUUUAAAGGAAAAUAAGCCUUAGUCAAUUGUGAGACACAACUCGAUGAAUUUUUCAAUUUACAAAAACAUAAAUAUCACUUUUAUUAAUUUAAUAAAAUGGUUCAAUUGACAUUUUUUUUAAAAUAUACCCCAAUCAUUUGCAAGGUACGAAUUAAGAAAACGACCCUCCACGAUUCCGAGAAAUCUUAUAUAUAUAGAUAUAUAUUUACUUUUAAAAGAAACUCGGCUUCAACCACUUGCAGUAACACCAUGGAUCGGUCAACCAUUUGCAAUCCAUCAAAAUUUAAAAAACAUGAGGUUCAAAUUGAAUCUGAAUUGAAAUCACAAACGUAGGGAUUAAAUUGAACAAUAUAAGAACCGAAUUAAAAAAUAACCAGACAACGAAGAACCUAAACUGACAAUUAUCCAAAAUUCUAAAAAUCUAUUCCCCCAACAAUCUGAACGGCAAAAAAGAAGGUAGUAGAUUUCCCGCUUGUUUUAAUGAAAUAAUAAACAGGUCAUCUAUGUAGUACGAAUUAACCAACCGACCCUUUGAGGUUUCAAAAUAGUAAAUUUUAUCUUAUUUUAUUUCAAGCACAUUUUUUUUUAAAAAAAUUUGAAUUCAUUAUUAUUAAAGAAAAACGACGUCGGUCUUUGGGGUUACAAUUAAAAAGAGUCAACCGUUUGUGGCCCCAUAACAAUAUGUCUAAUAUAUAACACUAAAAAUUUAUUCCUAGAACAUAUUCGCAAAUUAAUUAUCACUCAAUAUUCAAUAAUAUAAAAACUUAAAAUAACUCAGGGAUCAAUUGAAAUAGGACUGAGACUUCAUGCACAGAGACUAAAUUGAAGCAGACAAAAAACCUGAUUACAAACACGUCAAAUGGCGAAGGACUAGAAUAAGAAUUUUCCCCGAAGCCCAAAAAUAUCUAACACAUGAGCGGGAAAUUUCCCACUUGACGCGGUGAGAGGAUAAAAUAAAAAUAAAAAACUUUAUUUAUUUUAAUUCUGUUCCUUUUUACUUUCUUCUUUCUAAACCUAAAACCCUUCUUUCCCUUCUCCCAACUCUCCCUUUUUUUUUUUUGCUCUCCCAUGGCUUCCUCUUUUACCCACCAUUUUUAUUAUUAUAUAUUUUACCUAUUUAAAUCUCUACAAACACUUAUGAUUUCUGUUUUAUCUUUUUUUGUGUGUGUUAUUUAUUAUGGAGAUUUCAUUGCCUUCUCAGCUUGAUGAUUUCGAAAUCAUAUGAAACACUGUAUCAUCGAAGGCUCUUCUCCGAUUUCCGGAGUUUCAACAGUCUUUUUUUAAAAUCUGGGUUUAUUCACGAACUAGUAGCGUGCAUGCGAAUAGAAUAAUAAAAAUUAGGGGGAAAAUAAAGAAAAAGAAGGAAAAAAACUACCUCCGGGUAAUGGUAUUUUGGAUUUCAAGUUUUGCCUGUAACAUGUGUUGUGAUUUCUCUGAUUCACCCCCUACAGUGCUCCAUUAGGAGAUUAGAUGUUCCGGAAUUACUUGUUUAGCUUGUCAUUGAUUUCCGACUGUAUUCUGCUUCCAGGCACAGACGCUUUGGUCACAUCCUUGACCGCUCCCUUUUUUGCUUGGCGAUUGUUUCUUGACAAUAAAAAAAUAAAAAAAAUUACAAAAUCAUCAUCUCGAUGAAUCAAUAAAGAUAAAAGAAAACACAUUAAAAUCAAGGCCAUAGAAGAAAUUAGAGAAGUACUACACAUAUGAGAAAUUCCAGAAAUUGUUUUCCAAAAAGAAAGUAGUAGGGCAGACUAACCUUACUUGGAGGAGCAAGAUAAUGAGAAUGUUUUCUCGCAUCAGCUUCGUAUAAGCCUUCAGAAGGAACAUCAGAUUAGAUUCUCUCGAUCAAACGAAUCAAAUCAACUUGUCCAGGACAUUCAAAGUACCAAGUUAUAUCUAAAAGGGAAAAAUAGAUACUUCAAAAACAUAACUAUAUAUACCUAUAAGUGAAAAACGGUGCUACUAUAAGGGAAAAAUAGUGCUUGUGCUUCAAGUCUUCAAAGUCAAAGCUACAUAGUAAUAAUUUGAAUUUUAUAAAUUUGAUUAAGGGAGUGUUUGGAUAUAUUUUAUUAUAGCAAAAUAUUUGCAAAUCAAGGUUAAUAAUAUUUUAAAAAAAUAAAAUCAUAAUAUAAAAUGAAAUUAAUAAAAAUAAUAUCUAAAAAUACUUUAUAAAAAUUAUAAUUAACUUUAGUAUAAAUUAUGUUAUUCAUAAUAUUUAAGUAUAAAGCACCGAUUUAAUAUAUAAAAUAAAUAAUGUUUUGUCAUUUUAAAAUAUUCUUUUAUUUCAUAUCAUAAUUUAUACCUUGACAUAUUGUAUUUAAAAAACGUAUAAAAUAUUUAAAAAUUGAUUUUUCUCUCUCAUUAUAAAUCCUUAAAUAUGUUCACUCUUCUCCCAUACCUCCCUCAAUCACUCUCUCCAAUGCCUCCUUGUUUAUUGAGAAAAUAAAAAGUCUCAUCCGACUCUAACUAAUCACAUUAAUAUUUUGGGUAAACUUCACCAUUAAUUAUUAAACUAUACAUAUGUUUUCAUUUUAGUUACUUAACUAAAAAAAGUUUACAAUUUGGUUACUAAACUAUUCAAAAGUUUUCAUUUAAGUCACUAAGCUGUUAAAAUCGAUGCUAUAUGACUUUCUCUGUUCACAUUGUCUGUAUCAAUCGGAAACUUUCUUUCUCCUUCUCUUCUACAACUCAAAAUAUUUUCAUGAAACAACUUUAGAUGUCACAAAUUUACAAACAAAAUUCAAAAAACAAAAAUUUUCGGCCUCCAACACUAACAGUCAUAUCGACUUUGAGCUAAGGUAUGUUUUUUUACUUAUCAAUGGGUAUUGAUUUAUCGUAUCGAUUGUUGAAUCACUGCUUGAAACUCGCUAGCGAAACUUUAAAAAAAAACUUAAUAGCCCAGUGAAUUAAAUAAAAUUUUUUUAAUAGUUCAGUGACUUAAAUGAAAACUUUCGAAUAGAUUAGUGACCAAAUUUUAACCUUUUAAUUAAGUGACCAAAACGAAAACUUAUCCAUAAUUUAGUAACUAAUGGUGAAAUUUACCCUAAUUUUUUCUCUCCUAUAUUAUUUUUUUUCAUAAUUUGUUUCGUCUUUCUUCUCCUUCACCUUUACAACUCAUUCUAUUUUAUUUUCUUGAAUUUUAAGAAAUGAAAACCGGUUUCCGAUGAAAGAGUGAUGAGCAUGGUUGUCAACCGCCGACCACUACUGUCCAAAAACUUCUUUUAACUCCAGAAAUUCACCUCAUAUAAUAUUUUGCCUUCUCUAUUUGAUUUUCCUUUCAGUUUUUCCGAAAUCUUCUUCUAAAAGAAUAAAUAAAACAAAAACUCCACUUAAAAGAACUUCAAAAAUCUAAAAAAAAUUUCACUUUUUGAGAUGUCCAAAUUUUGUUAUGCUUGUACUAUUUGCCAACUAUUAUGAUUUUUUGAAAUUUGAAGGAAUAAAAAUCUUUCCCAUGAGUUGUUCGUUGGGAUGAUGUCUCCGAAUCCACGCGCGCUUGUAAUAUCUACUCUUGGGUUUCCCCAAACAAUGGCUAUUACCGGCAAAGGGGUAAUAAGGCGGAAAUAAGCUAUUCUAUGGAAAUAAUUCACUAAAACUGUUGACUAUUCUUAAAAGAAAAUAUUUCAUUGGUAUAUAAUUUAAUAAAAUUAAAGGAGAUGUGUUAUAGCUUAUAGUAUAUUAGAAAUUAAAUUCAAAUAAAAAUACAUUAAAGAAAUAAUAUCGAUAAAAAAUUACUAAGCGGAAAAACACAAAUUGGUGUGUUGAAUUGGACAUAAACAAUUUUAUUCCUCUCAGAUACCUGCAAAACGUAAACAAAAAAACUAAGGCUUGAGUAAUUGAGAAAACAGGCAUCUUUAUCGACUCACGAAACUUUCCCUCAUGAGAGGAGUCAAGGGUCAAACCCCCUUCGUCGUGCCGGAAAAGGUUACAUUCGGCUUUGGCUAACAAUGGUUGAGGUUGUCCCAGACCCGGUCCUUUCAUAACACAAUGUCAUUUGAGUUGAGUAAUUAUACUUUAGCCGUUUGAGUUUCGAAAAGGUGGGUGAGAAGGAGAGUCACAUAACUGUAACUUGUCUGUUUGUGGCGCCAAAUGUUCCAAAAACUUUUCCUACCUAUCCAUUAAUAAAAAGAACCACAUAACCCAAAACAACGGUUUAUAGUACCCAAGCUCCAAAUGGCUCUCUUCAGACUGCCUUAUUCUUUCCCUUCCACUCUCCCAUCAUUCUUUCCAAAGAUACUCUUGCCAGUUCCCUCCUUUUCAAUUUCUUGUUCUUCAAAAUCCACUCCCAAUCAACUCAAAAACAACGAUGAUAACAGCAAUACUGAUAAUCCCAAGAAAUCCAAGAGACUAUCAGAGCAAUCUUCCUGGGAAGCCAAAGAUUCAGAAGGGAGAGAUUAUCUAUACAGGCUUGGCAAAGAGGCUGAUAACAUGAACAUAGCUGUUGGUGCUAGGGCUGGUGUGAUUGAUGAUCUUUUCACUGGGAAUUUUCUUGGCAAAGACUGUAAUUUUCUUCCCUUCGCUCUUCCUUCUUAUAUUUAACUUAAGACAAACCGUUUAAAGAAAUGAAAUUGAAUAUCUUUUCUUUUCUUUUCUUUUUUUAUCUGUAGCGGAUAUUGUGUUUGAUUACAGGCAGAAGGCGACGAGGUCCUUUGAGUAUCUACAAGGGGAUUAUUACAUUGCUCCCGUAUUCUUGGUAAAAUUUCCAGGCUAACAAUUUCCUUUUGCAGUUCUUUUGGAAAAGUUGAGUUAAAAGGUGGCUUUUAUGAUUCAGGCUGAUGAUAGGUUUGAACUAGAAUGUGAUUAGCUUUACAGGGUCUUGUUUAUCUUUAUCAAAUAUUCACCUCUGCUGUGAUUAGCAUAUAAUAAUAAAAUAAUAAUUUUCAGUUCAACUUUACUAUCUUGUUUGAACUUAGAUUUUCAUUGUCUAGUUCUUAAUUUUGCUUUAAAUUCAAUUGCAGUUAACAUAUAUACACUAUCUUUUUUUCUGCUGUUAUCUAUAGAGACAGCAAGUUGUUAUUGUAUUUCCUUUCUUCUUCUUAUGUGUUUAUUAUUUGUCAGAAGCUAACACUGCAUUAUGUUUGCUUUUCUCAUUGUCAGGAUAAAGUUGGUAAGUUUUACGGAACUGCACAAAGAUGAGAAGACUGCUAUGAAUGAUACAGGAAAAUUAGGAAAUCUGGCAGAAAUUAGUGACUGGAGCAUUCCUUCAAUUUUCUGUUUUUUGGAAUAUCCAUGGAGUUUAAGAUUAUUUUGUUUCUAUUAAAUGCUUUAAUAAUGAGGAGAAAUCCGAUAUAUUACUGUCGAUACUAUUAUCCAUCACCCUUUACCAUUCCACGAUAUUAUCAUCUCUGAUGUGUGAUCUUCCACUUGCCAACCUUCUCUGAUUUUCCAACUUGAUGCUGAGCCUGUCAUAUAGUUAUUAUUUGUCUUCUUGAAAUAAUCCUAUCAUUUUGGAACUUAUGAAAUAAUCCUAUCAUUUGUCUUCUUGAAUGAUGACUUGUAUUUUUUUCCUGUUUUACUUGCUGCAGCAUGCCACAUCGUGAAGAACUACCUUGCUCAUCUUCUCAACGUGAAAAUUCCUUUGAUUCUAGGUUAUAUAUUUGAAAUAGUCAAGUGAAUUUUUUUUUUUCUACUUUGAUUGGGAAGGAAUGAGGGGAUGUUUAAAAGCUUAGACAUACUUGUUUUUUACUUUUGUGGGUGGAUCGGUUUAUAUAUGGGAGUGUUAAGUAUAAAUUCCAUACUUCUCAUUGUUAUAUUUGUCCUUAACGGUUUGGGUCUUAGGACUGCUCACAACAAUCUUGAAUCCUUUAUGAUGGUUUCAACAGCUAUGCUGGAAACAACAUUUCACUGCAUUAAAUAUCUUAUGGACUGCAGAUUCUUUUUCUGGCAUUUCUCGCAAAACCAAUGUAGUAUAUAGCUUGAAUUCUCAUUUAUUUUAUUUCUGAAACAUUGGAUUUUGACUUGAAGGUGUCUGGGGAGGAAAAGGUCAAGGAAAAACAUUCCAAACUGAACUCAUUUUUCAGGCUAUGGGGAUUGAACCUGUAAUUAUGUCUGCCGGGGAACUAGAAUCUGAUAGGGCUGGUAAGAUUGGUAUCCACCGUUUUUCCUUCCUUGCCAUUUGUUUGCAAGAAUAUAAGGAGAUUCGAUCCAUUCAGUUAUUAUUACCUUUUUAUGUGAAAAGACAUGAUUUAUUCACAUUGUUGUUCCCUUGACAGGAGAACCAGGAAAAUUGAUACGCGAACGCUAUAGAACAGCUUCCCAAGUGGUCCAGAACCAAGUUAGAAGCUUUACCACCCUCAUUCUUCGUAUAUGUAUGUCUAGGUUUAUGAAGUUUAAUAAUGCUCUUUAAUACCAAUGGUAAAAUCUGCAUGUCAUAUUAGCCUUUGCAUAGGGAUAUACUGAUAUUCAAUGUGUCAACAAACGGAUUAUUCCUCCUCCUCCAACAUCUAUUUCAAGUAUAUUGCGGUCCUCUUACAAUGAUAAGAUGAAAUAUUCAACCAUGAUAAUGGUGUAAAAGAGCAGAAGAGAGUUGAGAAAAAUCCGAGUACAAGAAGAGAUAGUGAGAGAGCAUUUUUGCCACUUUGACUCAAAGCCUUCGCAAAUGCUUGAACUCCUCAAAAUCCUGUGAAUAAUCUACCAAAUAAGAUGAAAAUGAUCAGUUGAGAUGUUGAAUUCUAUUUCCGCCUAGAGGAGAGCUGGACAAAAUAAAUGCCCUAAUGUUCCAAAAUAGCACGAGCACAUUCAACUCUGUACGACCUUUCGAUCAAGAAAGCGGUGAAGCUUUUUCGUCUGAGUUUCUAUUUCCAUCUCCGAUUUUAAGUUCAUCAGUGCCUGACAGAGAUUGUAAUGGAAAGGCUAAAGUCGUUCCCUUGCCUUAGAAAGUCAGAACUAUGGCAAACAUAUUAGCAUGAAAAUAGAACAAUUAUGACCAUAAUAAUAUCCGGAGCUUUCAGUAUAAAUAUUUACAGAUACUCAGUAUGCUGAUGUAUGUUCCACAUCAUUGUUAAUGACUUUCUGCAAUGUUCUUAAUUGCACGUUUGUUUGAAUUUUCUGAACUAAUGCAGGGCAAGAUGAGUUGUCUGAUGAUCAAUGACAUUGAUGCUGGUCUUGGUAGAUUUGGUGAGCUUAUGUUUUACUGGAACAGAAAACCUUGAACUGUACCAAUUAUGCUUUAAGUUUCAUAAAUUUCCUCUUGUUUAAUAAGUUUUAAAAAGUUACUUAUGUACUGAUUCUUUAUCUUGAACUUUAUAUAUUUUUCACAUCUUAUCUAGGUAAUACUCAAAUGACGGUCAACAAUCAGAUUGUUGUUGGUACCUUAAUGAAUUUGUCAGAUAAUCCAACCAGAGUUAGCAUCGGACAAGAUUGGCGAGAAUCAGAUAUAACAAAUAGAGUCCCUAUCAUUGUCACGGGGAAUGAUUUUUCAACCAUUUAUGCUCCCUUGAUCCGUGAUGGAAGGAUGGAAAAGUUCUACUGGUACAUGAUACUAAAGCUCCACACUUUUUUACUUCCCUUGUGGUGCUUUGUUGAUACAAUACAAUAAAAUGGUCUUGUGGUGGUUCAAAGAAAGAAAUCAAGCUAUUCCAUUAUUAUCUAACACAUCAUUUGUGAUACAGGCAGCCUACUAAGGAAGAUAUUCUGAACAUUGUUCACAGAAUGUAUGAGAAAGAUGGCAUAUCUAAGGACGAGGUCGUAAGUAUUGUGGAAACAUUUCCCAAUCAAGGUAUAUUCAGAUCCUGCAUGAUCUCCAUGAUUAGAUUUUCUCUGUCACUUCUAUAGCAAAUAUGUAGAGGGAAAAACAAUGACUAUAUCAUGGAGUGCAUAUUGAUUUGUUUUUCCUCUUUGGUUUUGGACAGCCUUAGAUUUUUAUGGAGCUCUUAGAUCUCGAACAUACGACCGGUCGAUUUCAAAGGUAUGUUAACUCUUCAUUUAGGUGUUCUCAAGUUAGGUGUGGAUUUUCUUUCUUAAGUGAUCGUCAUACCUAACAUGGUGCAAUAUUGUUGCUUUUACCUUGCUAGUUAGUGAUUAUUAGUUUCACCAUGUUAGGAAGGUAUCUAAAAUGUCCAUACCUGUUUUAUACCGUCAUUUGGACACUUAUUUUUUUUCGUCGGUUCAAAGAAAACAAGUAAAUAUAAUGUAUUUUCAUCAUCUUACUCCUUCCUUAUUACAGUGGAUUGAAGAUAUUGGAGGAAUUGAAAUUCUUGGAAACAAACUUCUCAGACGGAAGAAGAAUGAAGAACUCCCCGUAUAUACUCCCCCGCAGGUAGUAUGAUGAUCAUAAACUUUCUUUUAGAGGCGCAAAUUCAUAUGCUGUUAGUUAAGUUUUCAAGGAAAAUUGGUUAAUGACUAGUGCGUGAUCAUUUUUCAUAGAAUAACUACCGAAAACAACAUACAGAAGCCAAUAGAACUUCAAAAAUACUACAUCUUCUAUCAGGUGAUGAACAAAUCAAAACAUGGUGGAAUUCCCUUUCCAGUCUUUGCCCCGCCACUGGCUUUUUGAUUGUUAGUUUAUAUAAACAUCUUGAUAUGACCCCCCCCCCCUUUUUUUUCCUUUCUGAAAGAUGGUUUUUAGUAAGUUGAAGCUCGCAAGAGAAGUGAAUGUAGUUUUUUUUGUGUGUUAUUUGACUGGAAGUGGGGAUAUUUCAUUGAACAGCAAACGGUGGAGGCUUUACUUGAAUCAGGGUAUUCUCUCCUGAGGGAGCAACAGCUAAUAAUGGACACUAAACUUUCAAAGCAGUACAUGAAGAACAUUGAUGACUAACUCUGAUUCGAUACCAUGUGUUCUCAAUAUUAUUAAUAUUUUUAAUUUGUGGAUUACUCUCUUUUCUCUUCUGGUGGUUGAUGUGUAUUUCACUUUUUUAUACUAUUUAUAUUUAUCUAAUUCGAUUAUUUUUUUUUAAAUCAACCGUUAUAUAUGAAAAAUAUUGUUAAAUUUAAUUAUGGAUUUUGGUUUUCUUUUUUCUCCUCUUCAAAAUAAUAGGAUUAGAGAUGGAAUGGAGUAGGUUUGGGUCGGGACAAAGUGAGAGGUAUAAAAGUAGAGGUCAAGUUAGGAUUGGGGCAAGCAGAAAAAGAUCUCUCGUACUAUUGUCAUUUCUAAUCUUAUUAUUCUAAAGACAGGACAGUAGAAAGAUUUUAUUUAAAAUUUUUGUCCCUAGACUAUCUAAUCUCAAAAUAGCUAUUUUAGUUUUGUCAAAAAUAAAAUUAACAUUUCAGUCAUUGUGUCAUUAUCUGUUGUUAGAGGUGUAACGGGAAUUGAAUCACACAUGGCAUAAUUAUAUGCAAUUUCCGUUACACCUCUUAUAACAUAUAAUAACAUAGUGAUUAAAAUAUUAUAAGAUGAUAACGUUAUUUGUCAAAUGUAACAAAUCAAAGUUCAUAGAUCAAAAUAUAAACUUAACUAAACUAGUUAUUUUUGUAGUUUACCCAAAAAGUUAUAGAUUUAAACCACAAUUUUUUUUACUUAUUUUAUUCAAAUAAAUAAGAUGUAAUAAUGAUAAUUUAUGUAAUUUCAUAUUAUUUUGAGAGUAUUUAUAUUUUUUAUAUUUCAAUAAAUUCACAAUAUGAAAAUUAUAAGAUUUGAACUCAUUAUAUAUAUAUAUAAUUUUUAAAGUUUUAGUAUUUCAACUGAAGCUAUAUUUAAUUUCUAUAUUAAAUUUUUAUAAAUUAAUUAUAUAAAAAUUUCACCCACGUGUAUUAAUAUCGAUAAUUUUUUCUAUGUUUGAGGAUGUGAUUUCCUUGGAAUAAAAACUUAUUUAAACUUUAACAAUAACAUUUAAGUUAGCUUUCAUUCCUUAAUUAUGACUAUGAUUAAGAUGUUUAUGUUCUUCAAAGGCAAAAUAGCUUAAUUAGUACGAUAUUGACAAUGGAGUGACAUUCAUUUUCCAUCAAGUAAUGUCAGGGCUAAGAACAAUUAAAUCGGGAAUCCGAUGCUUUGUUUCUUAAACACCCCUAAAACAUUCCUAUUUCACUUUAAAGCCUUUGGGCUACCCAAUAAUAAUCAAGAAGAAGAAAAAAUUGUCGAACUUUUCUCGUCAACUGGGACAAUAUUCCUACAGCUUCUAGUGAUGGUUUAUGGGGAAAUUCUUUUGAGUUGAAAAGAGAAGUAAAACUUAGUUGACUUGACACUGCUUAAUAGAAGAAAGUAAAGGCGCUAAUCUUGGUUCUUAUAUUGUCUUCAUUCGUCAAAAUAAUUUUUUUAACACACACACACACACACAAAAGAAAAAGGAUUCUUUAUUUCUUUGUUUAUCAGAUAACUCCCAUCUUUUAUACCUUACAACUCAUAUGUUAAAGCUUUGAGUUCCAAUUAUUUUAGACUACUUUAUGGUGGGCAAAUGUUUGAUGCUUGCUUGGCAUGUUAGAUUCGGUUUUAUCUCUUUCAAUUUACAAUAUGAUUGGUUGUUCAUUUUUAUACCUUCUCUAAUACGCAAAGCAAAGGAGCCAUAUCUUGAUGCUACUACUAACUUUUCAUUUUUCAAUGAAUGGAAUCUACCCUUCUUUUUAAGUUAUUUAUUUUCGUAAAUGGAAUUUUAAAAAUUGCUACAUUAUUUAUUUAUUUAUAAUAUAUUGGGGAUAAUAUUAUUUUUAUUGUGGUCAGACUGCUUUCACUCAUUGUCUUUAAGUUUUAGGUGACAUUAUUAAAUCCAAGAAUACUUCCAAUAGAAAGCAACAUUGGUAAUUUACGAUUUGACUCUAUUUGCAAAACUUGAUGUGCAUUUUGAUGAGUGCUACUCUUUGUCAUAUCCUUCCAUUCAUGUUGGCCUUUCAGCUUUGACUUUCAUUGGAUCAAGUUUUUUCUAAUCUUCCAAUUUGUUUAUGGAAUUAUGAAAUAUAUUUACGUCUUCUAUAUGGUCAUCAAGUUUACUAUUCGACCUAAUGUUGAUAGUAUUUUUAAUUUUUAUUAAGUGUAUGGUAGUUUUAUUCUACCUUUCAAUUUAUCUAUCACUUCAUUCUUGUUUAAAUUAAAUUUUAGUGUGAAUUAUAAAAAUAAUCACUUUUGUUUGUUUCAAAUUAUAUUUUAGUUAUUUAUGUUUGAAAUGUUACGUUUUAGUCAUUUAAGUUAUCGUUUUGUUACGAAGUAGUCGCUUUGCCGUUAAGCUCCGUUGCCUCCCUAACGGCAUUCCUACGUAGUAGUCCAAAUAGAUUUUAAAUGCCAACUUGAAUGUCCAACUGGGAAAAAAAUAAUUUUUUCAGUCAAAAUGAAAAAGAAAAUCUAAAAGAAAAAGGAGAUGACUGAUUUUUCUUUUCCAAUUCAAAGUGUAAUUAAUUUUUAAAAAAAUUAAUUAAUUAAAUUUAUUUAAUUAGAAAUCUAUUCUCGUCCCAAUUGGAUAUUUAAAAUCCAUUUGGACUGUCGUUAGGGAGCUAAUGGAGUUUAACGAUAAAGUACCACUUUAUAACAAAAAGAUAACAUAAGUAAUUAAAAUAUAAUCUGAAACAGAUAAAAAUAACUAUUUUUAUAGUUUAUCCUAAAUUUUAUUACUGACAAAAAAUUUGGCUCAAAUUUUGACAAUCCUUUCCCUACUUCUAAUUGAAAGAAAAAUGCAAUAUAUAUAACAUAAAAUAUAAUUCAGUAUUUAAAUUUCCACAUUUACAAAUUUUCCUACUAUUUCUUUAAAAAUAAAUGAUAACAUUGUAUUUAAAAAAAAAGAAAAGAAAAAACUUCGAAAGAUAUGCUUGUCUUCAAUGGUGAGUGAUUGCAAUUGUACAUUCAAUAUUUUUUUAAGUACGAAUUAAUCAUAUCAAGAUUGAAAACAUGAACCUCCAAAUGAAAUCACCUUAUAAUCAUUACAAACAGGAAAACUAAUGUCUUGAAUUUUAUAAUAUUAUAGCAUAUAAUUUUAGUAUACUCUUAUUAUUUUAAUGAAUUGCUAUUAUUCAACUUGUCAAUUCAGCUCAACAUUUUAUUACUAUUAUAAAUUAUAUUUUUUUAUAGAAUAAAUAAAUCAUAUAUUAACUAUCUUUAAAAGGUUACUUUAUUCUAAAAGCACUCCAUAACAAUAACCUAUUCUUCAUUCCUUUUUUUUUUUAAUAUUAUACGUGUAUAUAUGUAUAUGGAAGAAAAAGUGUUGAGAUCACUAAGCAAAACCCCCCAAAAAGGGGUGAGAUGUGAUUAGGCACAAAGACGACAAUGAAAUAUGGGUUUGCAAAUUGGUUAGGGUUGCAUUAGGUAUGAAGAGCCUUCCAUGCUUUAUGAAGUGUUUAAAAGUGACCCACCAUUUUUUUUUUGUUUUUUUUUUUUUCAAUUUUAGUUGAAGUUGACGAAACCCGCACAUUGAUUUAUACUAUAUUGCCUUCCUUAAGUGAAAACGAAGUUCUACUUUUCAAUAUUGCAUUUAAUUUACAAGCCAAAUUAUUGGAACAAUUAAUUGGUGUGUCUUUAUCAUUUAUUAAGGCAAUGGGAUGUGGAUUUAUGUUUAUUAUGUCAAAUUCGAUAUUGAUUUUUUUUUAAAAGAAAAAUUCAUAUUAGAUUAAAACAUCAAAAACAAACACAGGGUAAAAAUUCAAAAUUGAAUCUGAACCAAUAGACUCACCCCCAAACCCCACACCUGUAUGAUCCAUUGGCUCCAGUAGAACCCAUCAAAAGAUUAUCUGAAAUAAGAAUGUUUAAAAUACAAUUAAAAACCUUGUUCGACGCAAAGUAGUCAGCAAGUAACAGAGCCACCCGAGCAAAGCUAUAAGCUGCUCUAUUUGCUAUCCUAUACUUCCAUUAGAAAGACAAAGAAAUAAAAUACUGUCUUGCUUCAAAACAAUUCCGAGCUACUAUACCAAAUCCUAACACGUCAUUUGCCAGAUUAUUGCACACUUCAACAACUUCAGAGCUAUCCAUUGAAGUUAUAUAUUAGCAAUUUAAGGUUCAAAUACUAAUAAUUACCUCCUCCUUUCCUAAUUUUACAAUAUAUUAAAAGAAUUAUAAUGAAUUAAAGGUUAUAGUAAAUUAACAAUGGACAGUUGAUGAUAUUUUAACCUAAAAGUUGGAAACAUUAAGGAAUUUUAGUUCCAACCUUUUUUUUAGUUUAUUUAUAUUUAUUUAUUAUUCGUAAAAAUAGAAAGAGGCAAAAAGAAAAUUGGAGAAUGUAAUUAAAAAAAUCAUUUUUAUGAUGUGUGCAUGUUCACUCAUGUGAUAUCAUAUAUGAUGCAUCAUCAAUCAUUUAUUAGGAAUUAAAUGAAAAUUAUGCAAAUAUUAAUGACUAUAAAAUUGAAUUUUAUAAUUGAACGACUCGUAUAUUUGCCCCACAAAAAAAAUACUAAUAAAAAAUAACCCCCCUCCCCGCCCCCACACAAAAAACUCAAAAAUAUUCAACUUGGUGCUUACCUACCAUCAAGUGUUUUGAUUUAGACAAUGAAAGAUUUGAAUUUAUGUGCAGCUCUAAUACUCUUGAUGUUAAAUUAGCUUUGGAGGAAAUAAAUUAAGUCCAUAAAUAUCAACAUAAUGUGUAGGUUAAUUUUAGAUUUAUUUUACUGAGUGGUCAAAUGUAUUUUACUUAUUCAAAGUUUUAUUAGUAUUAGAUUAUGAUAUAUGUGUGUGAAAAAUAUAAUUAUAUAAUAAAUAUAUUUAUAAAAAAUUAUAUAAAUAAAAUAAAAUUUAGAUUGCACGGUAAAUAUUAAAUGUUGAAAACUAUAAAAAAGUAAUAUGAUAAAAACACUUUUAAAAUAAUGCAUUUUAUUUUGUAAAAUAAAUAUGUUUUUUGUUAUUAACUAAUUGAAUUAAUAUUCGAUUCACUUGUGAUACAUACUCAAUCAAAUACUUAAUAUAUUAUAUAGAUAAAUGAUUAACUUAUCUUUGAAUUAUAAGUUAAAAAAGAGAUAUUUUUCUUAAAAAUUUAAUUAAAUUUUGCAUAACAGAAAUAGUAAAAACAAGAAUAAAAAUUAUUUAUUUAUUUAUUUAUUUAUUUUCAACGAAUAAAUACAUCAUAAUUAAAUUGUUUUUCAUGCUAAUGGUAUCUUGAACUUCAACUAUGAAGAAUAUUUUCUAAUAUAGCUCAAGAAUAAAUAUAAAAUAGAAAUCUAAUUCGUUAAGGUCAAUAAAAAAACAGAAUAAUCUCAAUCAACUUGCCAAGAUGACAAUAAUUAUUCAAAAAAAUCGUAAAUAGAGAUGAAAGGAAGAAAAAACAAAUAUUUUGAUUAAGAUUGUGGGAAAUAAAGAAGCCAGGCCUAGGUGUUAUAGUGAAAUGUAAAGGUGUUUAUAGUUUAGUUAAGUUUUAAUUAAUUGAUCGAAUUGAUUUAAUUUGAUUAAUCAGUCAAUGGUAGAAUUUAGUUGAAUUAGAGAUAAGUUAAAGGUUUUUUAAAGUUCAAAAUCAAAUAAUUAAUUAAAUUACUUAAAUUAACUGAAAUAAUUCCCAAUUAACCAAUUUCCCUUUCUCUUUUUAUUACCGAUAUAGUUUCCAAUCCCCCCUUUUCUCUUUCUCUUUUUAUUUUUUCCUUCUAUCCUUUCUCUAACCUUCAUUUCUUUCCUUCGUCUCUUUCUUAUACCCUUCUCUAACAGUUUGCUUCUUCUGUCAAUUCCAUCAGAUCCUAAAUGAUCACAUUCUCUCUUUCAUUUCUUCCCCAUAAACGUUACAUUGUUUUCUUUCAACCUUUUCUUUUUGACUCACUAUUUCUUUUUAUGGUUUUUCUCCUUUUUUAUUUUCUGGGUAAUUUAAGUUUGGUUUUAAAAUUGCAGGAUGUGGGUUGUUACUUUUGUUGGAAUUCAUUCCAUACCUCUUUCAAGCAACUUGCUUUUUAUUGUUUGGGUUUUUCCAUGCUUUGAUGAUGUUUUCUUUCUUUUUUCCUAAAAAAAUUCCCCCCCUAUUUUCUAUUUACGUCUGUUCUAUCCUUUUUUUUUUUUUUGGUUAACAAGGGAAUGUAGGGCGCGUGGUGAGCUUAAAUUUUGAUUAACUGAGUAAAUUAAUUGAUAAUAUUUCAAUUUAGUUAAUAUGUUUAAAAAAAAUUAAUUUAAUUAACGUUUAUUUCAAUUAAUAAUAGUUUGAUUCAAUUAUUAACCGGACCCUAGUGAAAUGCGCAAAGUCUACAAUCAUGAAUUUACUAAUUGGGUAAAAAGUAAAAAAACCUUCGUCAAAAAUCAGGUCAGACACGUUCAAUCGCCAUAUCCGGUUUCUUAUUAUCUACGUGGCGAACCGCUUGCCGACACUAGCAUUAUUCUAACCAAUAUAAUAUUAAAAUAACAAACUCAAAUUACGUAUUUCUGUCACAUACAAAUUUUAAAAUUUAUUUUGCUUUAAUAAACUUAUUUUUUAUUUCUAAAUUUAAAAAUAAAAUUUAUUUCCUCAAACAGAAUGGAGCCUUAAUUUAAUCAACUAAAACAUUUGUCUAAAAUCUUGGUUUUUUCGAUAUUUAAGUUUAAAAUUUAUCAUUUACAAAUAUAGCUAACUUUCUAUAUAAUAAUUUUAUUUUUUGGUCCAAUUUUACAGAAAAAUAAUUAUUAGAUACCUAUAAUAAUAGGUUAUUAUAGAAAGAUAAUAGCUUACCAUAAGAUUUAUAUAAUGAAUUUCCAUUAAAAUAAAGAUAGUGAAAAUUGUGUUAAAAAAAGAAGAAAAAAGUGAAAAUCAAAUUAACAAAAUUAAAAGAUAGUAUAACAUGUGAGUCUAGUAUUACUUUUAUGAAUAUUUUAUUUUACAUCUUAUCACAUGAUUAAUUAUAAAGUUCAUGAAUUUAACAAGUUUAAGUAAUAAAUAAGUUAUUAAAUUAAUUUAUUUAUCACGAACUAUUAAAUUCAAGUAAUUAAUUUGUAAGUUUAUGAUAUUAUCAAAAAAAAUUGUAAGUUUAUGAUGUUUUCAAAUUUACAAUUUAUUUUUUAAAUAUUAAAGAUAGGUAGUAAAUAUUAAAUUGAAGCAAAGUGAGCGAAGACAGGAAUGAAUGCAACUAGCAUCCAUAGAUAUGAUAGUGUUUUCAAGAUUUUAUAUCCAUAGUGAAGUGGGACAAACGAUAAACUAAAGCGUGACAAUUGUGAGGCAAUAAUAAAUUUAGCAAUAUCUACUCUCGUCCCGUUUUAUCCACAUCCCUAAUUUUAAUUUAAUAAAAUUAAUAUAUAAUAAUUAAAUGAUUCUUAACACAGAGUGAUUAAACGGAUCCUAAAUUUGAUCAUUGAAUAAAGCACCUCAUUUCUUUAAUAGUGAUGAUUUUAAAUUUAAAAUCACUAUUAUUAUUAUUAUUAUUAUUAUACAUUUUGUAAUCGGGAUUGUGAAAUAAUAUGUGGGUAAGACAUAUUUUAAAAAAAUAAUUAUAUUUUGAAAAUAAAUAAAAAAAAGAUAUAAUUUUUCAUGAGAACGGAGUAAAUUUUAUAAUGAGACAUGUAUUUAUUUAGAGAAUAUUCAUGAUGAGAGGAUUAAUCAUUACAAUUGAUGGUAGAUAUCCUGACUACUUACAAAAUAAAUUUUUAUUUAAAUUUAGAUCAAAUUAGUUUUUUAAAAAACAGUUAUGUGUUAUUUGUUGAUUAUUUGUUAAAUACUGUUAAUUUUUUUAUACAAUAUUAAGGGUAAGAAAUGAGGUAACACAAUUUAAAUUUGUACCAAAUUGGUAUUUAAUAAGAAGUUUAAUCAUCUCUCUAUACAAGUCUAUGAAUAUUAAAAAUUUUAAAUAUCAUUUAUUUUUAUUUUAUCAUUUUGGUUUUUUUAUCAUAUAUAAAUAUUAAUCUUUUAGAUUUUAUAGUUGUCACUUCUAAUAAUCCUAAACUCUAUCAUUAAAAAUAUAAUAUGUAUUACUACAACACUAGCUAAUAUUUUAUUGAUUAAUCCUAAUUUAUAUAUCACACAAAUAUAUUUAUUUGACAACUUCUAUAUCAAGUUGUUGUUUCCAUUCUUCUUACUAUUAUAACGACCAAAUUAGAGUUGGUUUUGUCUUGGGUAAAUUAGAUCAUUAGUUAUUAAAUUAUGGUUAAAAUUUUAUUUUAGUCACUUGAUUAAAAUAAGUUAUAAUUUGGUCACUGAAUUAUGUAGAAAAUUUUAUUUAAGUCACAAAACUAUUCAAAUGUUUUUAUUUAAGUUAUUAGGCUGUUAAUUUUUUUUUAAAAAAAAUUUCUCCAAUAAGCUUCAAGUGAUGAUUCGACGACCGAUACGGUGGAUAGCACCCAUAAAACUAGUAGAAGAGCAUAUCUUAGAUCCAAGUCGAUUUGAUGCUCAAUGUUGGAGAUCGGAGAAAAAACUGUUUGAAUUUUGAUUUGCAAAUUCAUGACUUCUAAAAUUGUUUCAUGAAAAAAAAAUGAACUGUAGAAGAGAAAAAGAAAGAGAACUUUUGAUUGGUGCAUAUAUUGGGGAUAGAGAAAGCUAUCUUCAUCGACUUUAAUAACUUAGUAAUUUAAAUAAAAAUUUUUGAAUAAUUCAAUGAUCAAAUUAUAACUUUUUUAGUUUACCAAAACAAAAAUUUACCCAUAGUUAAUGGUGAAGUUUACCCUUUUCUUUUAUGAAAUAUAAAUGAAAACAAUAAAUAAGGCAUAAUGAUAAAUUAAGCUCUUAAUAUUUAUAAUUUUUGUCAAUAUGAUCCCUUUUUUUAGAUAAAUUUCACCAUCAACUUGAAAAAAAAAUCAAAUUUGGCAUUAACCUUAAAAGAAUUGAAUUGUUGUUUUCUUAAUGAAAAUACAAACUAAAAUAUUAAAUCUUUAAACAUGGCAAUUUAUGUGUACUUCAUAUUAUUUUUUUAAAAUUUAUUAACUUUUUAUAUUUCUUUGAAUUUUGAAUUAAUUUUAUUUUUUGUGAAUAUUUUCAUAACUUUUAAAUUAUUUAUUAACGUGACAUAUAAAAUAAAAUAAUGUCAUGUCAGCAUAAAAUACACAUAAAUUAUCAUGCGAGUAGUCAUAUUAAUAUUUGUAAGGUUUUAGUUAGCAUUUUUAUUAAGAUGAUCAAAAUUAACAAAAUAUAUAAAUAUUAAGGACUAAAUUUAUGAAUAUGCAAAUAAAUAAUUAUCUCGCUUAAGGUGAUAUAUUAGUCACGUGUCGGUGGCCAUAGUCACUUAUAUAUUGGCGAAAACAGAAAAGCAAACCCAAACAUUAUAAACUGCUAUUUAUAUUAAUUUUGUAAUAAUUAAUUAAUUAUGGUUAUGGUUAUGGUUAUGGUGGAGGGAGUUGCAGCCUACUACUACUGCUUCUACUACCUAAGAUAAUUAAUUAUCUGCGCAAAGCCAAGCUACCUUUCUUCGUCCUCAUCUGUGCAAAGCAAAGCCUCUGUUUCUAGUUCCGUUCUCUUAAUUUGUUUCUUAUUGUUUGCUCAUUUCCGUUAGUAUUAGAUCAGAGAGAGAGAGAGAGAGAGAGGGUGGAGAUUUGGACAGGUCUGGCUGUGGCCGGAAUCAAAGAAGAAUAUUUGAGGGAGGAGGAGAAAACAUCGAACAAAAUUAAAGCGAAACAAAUUAGGAAAACUCUAUGGAUUGGUGGCAUAAGAUGAUCUUCCCUGUUCGAAGACUCUGGUUUGUAGUUUCUUCUCGCGUUAAGGCUCGCAAAAAUGGUGCGUUUCUUUCCCUUUCCUUUCUUUCACCCCAUUCUCUUUCUCAGUUAAUGUUCUUUGUUUCCCAGAGGCUUUUAUUCUUUCUUUGGAGUUCUCUCUUUUCUUCUUCUUCCUUCUUGUAUUACUGAAUUUUCAAAAUAAAAGAAAUUAUUCACUAGCCAACAAAAGGUUUUAAUGAACUCUUUUAUUUUAUUUUUUUCAAAUUUCUUAAAAUUGUUUUGAUGUGUAUUAUUGUUUCUUUUUGAGUUCCGAAAAGAGUUCAACUAUUCAGGACGAAGAGAAGAGAGGGAAAAAUAUUAUAUGACUUAUUGAAUCAAAUCUAAUCUAUGCUUAAGCUUGAGUCUAUUCGAAAUAUUGGUAGAAAAUAUAAAUCUAAUCAUAUCCUCUUAAAAAAAGAAGAAGAUAUAUUUCUCCUAAAAUCUAUAACUAUUGUAAUAUAGAACACAUCUUGCACCGACAAAAAUGCUUAAGUUUGAAAUUGAAUAUUUUUGUUAAAGUAUUUUCGAAUGAAAACAAACUCAUCUUGAAAUGGAUUAUUCCUUGAUUGUAUUUUUAGUUUCAAUUCAUUUGGAGGAAAAGAAACAGCGGAAUUUUAAAAUUGAAACAAGGGAAAAGAAAACCAUGUUAAUUUACUCCAUAAUGAUUCUUUGAUUUUCUUUUUCAAUUUCUAAAGAUAAUGCAAUAUGGAAGGCUGUUAGUAGGUAAAAGAUACUAAUUUAAUUAGAUGCACAUAAUUAUUUAAUAUGUUUUCUUAUUUAGAGAAGAUAAAAUUGAAGUAUUACUUUUUCAAAUGGACUUACAUUUGACUCUUUGUGGAUGUAUAGAAUUUACUUAUUAACAAGGAAAGAUAUAUACAUAUAAUUUUUAAAUAAGUGAUAUCAUGUGUUGAUUAACAACAUAUAAAGUUAUUUAAAUAUUAAUUAUUUAUGUAGUUAAACAUUUGGUUGAAUAAUAAGUACUUUUAUUUAUUUAUUUUUCAUUUAAAAUAUUAAAGAGGGAAUUCAAAAUUUGACGAUUUUUUUACUAAGAAAUAGAAUGGUUAACUAAGGGGCCCGUGAGCCCCCACUUAGUAAUUUACCAAAUAUCAAUAUCAAUAUCUUGGUUUUGAAGUUACUUAAUGGGAAAGAUUAGGUUAAAGAUAAUUUAGUUAAAUUACAAUAAUCAAGGAAAGAUGAUUGAUCUAUAAAUAAAAAAGAAAGUUGAUUGAAGAUAUUUGGUAAAGUAAUUACGCAUCUUAUCUUUUUCCGGAAGCUCGGCUGAGAUUGGACGAAAACAUUAUUUUAUUUUCAAUCAUGACUCAACCAGAAUAACUUCUUUUUUUUUUUUUAAUGCAGGAGCCGGGUUGUUGAAGCUUCACGAUGAUGUACAAACAUGUGGAUACGAAGAUGUGCAGGUGAUGUGGGAAAUGCUGCGAAGAUCGGAAUCGGAGCUGAUGGCUGCUAACAACAGUCCCAAGCGCAAGCACCGCCCAGCUUUCUGGAGAGUUUUCGUUUGGUCUUCUAACCACACUUCAUCCUUCUCGCCCAAUCAUGCCUAACUUCACACCAUUGGCAUGCAUACUUCCUAAUAAUAAUGAUAAUGAUGAUAAUAAUAGUAAUAAUAAUAAUGUGUUCCUACUGUCCUGCAGCAUGGACAUUUGCGUCUUACGUUUAGAACUGAACUUAUAACUCUGACGGCCUACCAUACAGUGGCAUGGUACAGAGCUCUGUUGCAACCAUGAACAAUGUUCAAAUUGAAAUGGAAAUAUAAGAUGAUGUAUUACUCUGUUCCUUUUGCUGGGGGUUCAAAAAUUGCUUUCAAAUGACACAACUAUUAUGCAUACAUGCGUAUAUACUUAUCAACUGUAAUCAAAUUACAGUACGGUAGUUCAAUCGGUGGAGGAUAAAGAGACUAAUAAUACUUAAAAUUCCACUAGGAAGGAACAAAAGGUUGUACGUAUGUAUGCAUGGUAAUUGAAAAUGAUUUAAGCAAUUACUUGACUCCAUAAAAUUGUCAUCAAAUCAAAUUACUACGACCAAUCAAACCAUCACAAACAAGUUGAAAUGACUAAAGCGAGAAGAAAGAUGGCAUAAGAAACCUCUAUUUCUCGUGUAUUUUUCUCCAUUAAACCUUUGGUCCCAUACCAUACCAUAUCUUUUAUCUCAUGUAUUCAUGCCCCUGUAAUAAAACAUUAAAACACAGGCAAAGGCAGCUUAACAAUCUCCCAAAAUAUGAUAAUACCUGUGUAAGAAUUGAAUGUGAGGAGAAAUACCUGAUCAGAGAAACUUAAGAGUAUGUAUUUGUCACUGUAACACUUUAUCUAAGCUAUGCAAGGGAGUCUUGACUCUUGAGUACUUAAAGUACCAGCUAUUAUUACGGUGUAAUAGAACUAUUCUCCAUCAGCUCACAAGAAGAGAAGCCAUGGAAUACAAAGAUACAAAAACGAAGAACAUCGGAAAUGACAGAAAAUAUGAGGUUAUAACAAGUGAAUAUCACAACAAUUCCAGAUCAAAGCGAUUAAAUAUGACAGCAGUUCAUCGAAGAGUUUCAGAGUAAAAAAGGUAAAAUCAGCAAGAAUGAUAAAGAAAGCAUAACUUUUGAUAUUAAGAUUCUAACUGGAUUGUUGCAAGUGAAUAAAGUGGAAUUUCACAUCAUGAAAUUUGUCUGCCUCCUAAGCUAAGAUAUUAUUCCUGCAAAACUGUAAUACAAAUUUUUCCUCAUAGGCUAUUAUAGAAAAAACUAAGUGAACCAAAAUAAUGCUAAAGGUACAACAACGGGGCAAUCAAUCAUGUGUUUGCUUUUCUCCUUAUCCCUUUUGACUAGUUGCCAACUAACCACAAGUAUCGUGUUUUAGGGGGCAUAAUCCUAAAUGCAGCACCCUGCUCACGAAAACUUAUUUCCACUUCCGGGAACCUUUUGACAUUAAGUUACCAAAUAAAUUACUGACAGACGCACAAGUUCCUGAAUGUUAUUCCUCGGGUGAAUGCAUGUAUAUCUUCUCAAGCAGUACUGGCCAGCCUUCUCCAAGCCUCUGUGGGUUCAAUUCCAUGGCAGUCUUGAAAUCCAGCAAAGAAAUCAGUUUGUAGUAUCUCUGUUCGUCUAUAGCUUCCAAAUUCCAGCUGCUAUUUUGAACCUGAUUAUGGUGACUUGGUGAGACACCGUUAACAAGAUUCCAGUGGGAAUGCUGCUUCACUGUAUUAUUUUUACUCAAACUACAUCCAUGCCUGGUUCCUACUAGCUCAAAGCUCAUCCUUAUUAAGCUCUUUAAGUAGACAUCCAGUCCGUUGUUCAAGAUAUUGGCACAAUCCAUUGGCACACCUUCAAGGCCCUCCAGUGCAGCAAUUUGUUGCAUGCGUUCCCUCAGUGCCUCAGAGUCGAGCAAUCCACCAAUAGCAUAUGACUUGGCAUGUCUAGUACUUCUUGCCAAAGUCAAAGCCCUUCGGGUCUCAGAGAUACUACUAGAGAAUAAUGGAAUUCCAAGUGGUGCUUGCAAUGAACUUCUAGCACACAACUCCUUUCCAUCUGCAGCAAACAAUACUUCACUUUGACCUCUGCCAUCUUCAGAAACAAAACUAUUGGCUGAUCCCUUUACUUCAGAGUUAGGAAGCAGAACAUCUCUUCCAUUAUCUGCUUUGCCUGAAACUUCUUGAUGAUGCUGCACCGGCUUCUUUGUACCACGAGAAGUCAGAUCCUGAUUUUCAGAUACAAUAAUGUCAUUAGUUAUUGUUGAUUCAUGAGAAGCAGAAUCCACCUUGGCAGUAAGCCUAAUGGAUGCUCCAGAUCUUGCUUUCCGAGGUGACAAUAGAACAUCCCCAAUUUGCUGACCGUCAAGGAUAGUCACAGGCAGUGGAGGGACUUUCGCAUUACAAGCAUUUUUCAAUAUUGAACGGAUUAGGAGAUUGUGUAGUCUAACAUUCUCUUUCCCGAGAACACGAAAGCAAACCUUAUUGAACUCAACCUUGCUUAGCUUCAAGUUCAACAAUUUAUUCAAAUAAUGGUAGUACUGUUUCGAUCUCUCAGGCCCCAGUCUCUUUAUUAACUGAGCUUUCAACUCAAGGAGAUUGAUCCGCGAGUGCUGAUUUGGCGGUUGCAUUGUUCACCGCUAAAAAUCCAUAACCUAAUUAAUUGACCAAAAAAUGCAGACACACACUUCCUUUCACCCCAAAAACUUCAAUUAAAUUAGGGCUUCUUUGCUCCAUUUCAAAAACCCCCUUUCCAUAACCCCACUAAAGAUGUUCCACUAACUCCAGAAAGACCCAUGGACACCAUUACAAAACGCAUCUUUGCAACCCAACAGCAAAGCUCUCAUAAAGUUCAAAGAUUUAAACUCGUCCCUCCAAAUUCAAUCAACAAAAUUCAAAUAAAAACCCAGAGAAAUGAAAAAGAAAGAAAGCCAAAUUUGAACCAUAUCAACCCAGAAAAAACCUCCUUUAUACUUAUUCAGAGAUAAAUUUGACUAAAAAAUCCACGAAAAUGAGCUCAACCCGGUUCAUGAACAUCUCUUCUUUAUUCAAUAAAUAGAAGCUAACAGAAAAAUACCGCCUCGAAAAGCAAAGUGCUGCUACGCGGAUCAACGAAUGUUAAAAAUAUAAGUUCAAUGCCAACUUUCAACAAUAAGCUUGAAUUUCAUGGGGGAAAUUGAAUACAACAGAGAGCAAAGGAAACAGGAGAUUCCAGAAAGAGAGAAUUUCGAAAAGAAACGUUAUUGUUGCUCUGACCUGAUUGGAGCUCGAGAAAGUGGAAGAAAAUUUCCGCGGAUAAAGAAAAACAAAAUACCGUUCUGCUAUCUUUCCUUCGAACUCGAGCUUCCUUCUCCUUAUAUCUUCACUUCCUAUUCUCUCAUCAAAGAACUUUUUGUAGCAUUUUCAACACAUUUUCGUCUGAUUUUCUCUUCCAGAGAUCUUUGAUGGAUUUUGGGUUUGAAAUCAAAGAGUUCUUCAGCUUACCCUCUUUGAUCCAUUAUUUUUCUACGAUUUCCUUUCUGGUUUUUUUAUCCUUUUCGUGUAUAUUGUAUUGGGCUAAUAUAAUAUUUAAUAUAUGAUAUUGUAUUGGGCUAAUAUAAUAUUUAAUAUAUGAUAUUGAUUUUAAAUGCUUAAUUUGAUAUUUAAAUUUAUUUUUAAAUUGGUAUUUAAAUUUAAAUUUAAUGUUUAAUUUUAUAUCUAUUUUUUUUUAAUUUGAUACUUAGUAAAAUUUUUUGUCCCAAUUAAAUAUAUGAGUUCGACAUCAAUCCUUAAUUUAACAUUUAAACUUUUUUUAUCCCAAUUAAAUAUUUGUAAUUUUUUACUAGAAUACAAAUAUUAAAUAUUGAUAGAAUUUAAGUAUUAAAUUAAAUAUUAAAACAAGUUACAAAUGAUAUAAUAAUAUAUUGUAAAUAAAUGUUACAAUGUAAGAGCUCCAAAAACAAUUUCCACUGAAGUUGAGGGAAUAAUGGGGUGGUUUACUGUCAGAGAGUGAAUAUGAUAAAAUAUGUGAUUUCCGAUAUAGAAGAUAAUUUUUGAAUGUUAUAAUGAAUUAAUAUUUAAUGCAUCAAUUUAAUAAAUUAAAUUCUUUUAUUUGUUUAUUUAAUUUAUUUAUAUUCAAAAAUUUUAAGAUUCAAACAGAUAAUCGAAUCAAUUAAAUGAUUUGUUUAAUGAUACAAUCAAUUUAAUCAAUUUAAUAAAUUAAAUCAAUAAAAAAUUAUAAAAAUAAAAAAUAUAUAUAAAAAAUUCAAUUUAACUUUCCUAGUCAAUUAAUUUAGAUCAACCGAUUCGAUUUAAAUAACCUAGAUUUACUCUAAUUUAAUAAAUUUUAAUUUUUUUUUUUUACUUUUUGUCAAAUUCAGUUCUUAAAACUUUUACAUUUUGUUUACAAAUAGUGGAUUUAAUUUGUAUAGUCUCAUCUAUAUUUUUCUUGAUAAAUGUGGUCAAAAAUAAAUUAUAUAAACAAAUGUGACAUUUUAUUUAAAUUUCACUGGAAGCGGACCAAAUCAAAUAAUAACCUAUUUUAUAAUAAAAAGAAAAAAUCAAAGUCGGAUGCCAAACAAAGAAAAACUAUAUACGCCACUGAAAAACGAAAUUCUAUGAUCUCUGAAAUUGAAGCAAAGGAUUUUAUUACCAAACUGGAAAACUCUAAUAAAACGAUUGUACAAGUCUCGGGAAAAUUCUACUAUAUAUUAAUAGGAAAAUGGAUUUCAAAAUGUAAUGAAGGAAUACUUCCUUAAACAAAAAACAAAAUCAUGGACAGUUAAUCAGAACACCGAAAGAACCUGAAAUGCUUUGCACUAAAAUGCUUUGCUUGCUCUUACUGUGAAGCCAGUUGAAGGUGAGGCCUAAUUGGCAACCGGAUUGCCAGUCUUUUAAGCUGUACAAAGAGAUGACCAAGAAAAAGCCAGACUUUCAGUUACUACGGAAUAUUCUUCGAGGGUCAAGUUGUCCGCUACAGUAACUGGAAGGAACAGCUGAAAUCUCCAGCCUCCCUUUCCACUCUUCACCAGGUUUCAAAAUGAUGGGCUUCUCUACACAAGCAGCUGUGACACAUAGCAUGUGUUUAUAUUCAUCAUCACCAAAAUCAGCCAUCGCCUUUGCUUUCUUAUCCCAGGGGUUCCACACGACUGAAAAGAAAAAAAGGGAAAUACAGGAAUUAAAAAACUGUAAUCAACACAUCUAACCAUGAUUUACAUCCUUAUCCAAUCAUCUAAAAGAAACCAUAUGAUUAAACCUAUCUUCGCCAUAUUUAGUCGUUCUAAAUACAGUCAGCUGAUCUAUAGUUAUUAACUUCCAAGGUGAGAACGGACCAACAACAAAAUAUCCAUAGCACGCAUAAUUAGUGUAUAGAGACGAUGAACUCACCAGCAUCUGGAAGUCCAUCCUUUCUCAACACAAAAGUCCGCUUCCUGUCAUGGUCCAGGAUGGCAAUUUUUGUAGGUGUACUGAGAUAUACUUUGUCAACCUUUUUCAUUAAGGAUAACAGUAAUAAAACAAUAAACACAAAGUAGAAUUAAAAAGACCAGGAAAAUGGAUAAGCCUGCUUAUGAAAAUCAACACUAACUUCUGACUCGAAUGUUAAUGCGUCCCCUUGUUCAGUGAACCGCUCUCUAUUCUUCAGGUUAUCCAAAUAAUCCAGCGUCUCUAGUCCUUCUACUCGCACUUCACUAAACAAAAUAGAAAAAAAAAUUACAAAGAGCAUGAAUGAGUAGGCCCUUGCAAUUUAUCAUACAACAAUGUCUAGAAACAAAGCUUUUUUUCAUUCUAUCUGUAAUACAAACGUGUUAUUAAAUUAUUAACAUUUCAAUAUAAAGUCAUCAUCUUUUGCAAGAGUAUCUAGAACACCUAUUCAAAAUAGUAAAGCAAAUAUAUUUAGCUACAAUGUAGAAGACUGUAGCCUGCAUGAUUAUAAACCAUACGUGUAAGUAAACUACUCAUGUCCAGUGACUAAUAACUUUGAUCUCAUAUUUUAUUCUCCUGCUCUUGAUAGUCCCACUAGAACUAUAGGGUGAUUUCAUCAAGGAAUGUUCAGAGAUUGCAUCUCACAUUGCUUUCAAGACUUAAGGAAAAGAGAGCCAGCAUUGUUAAAUAAAGAAAAUAACUGCAACAAGUAAAAUUAAAAAUUCAUAAUACCAUAUUUACAUGUGAAGGUUCUCAAAACUAAAAACCACAAGAUGGCAAGAAAAAUAUAUUGAACCUGAUAUCAGUGACUGAAAAAUAGGUGUGAUAGGCAAAUGUAAAUGUAAACGACUUUCCAUCAGUGUUGGUAUUUCGAAUGCGGGAUGUCAACAUCAAAUCACCACCAGGACCCAAAGCUAUCCUUAAUCGACACUCAUACCUGCACAAGAUAGCAUAUCCCUUAAUCCAAACAAUGGAACUUCAGUAUCAAUCUCACAUGCCUACCUAAAUGUACACAUUAAAUAAACAGGACAAGUAACAUAGAAAUGAAAUCGGUUAAUCCAUAAAUCUAUAUACAGACCAGUACUAGAGCACAUUAAGAUUGACUUCAAAAACAGUGUACAACCGGAUCCCAUAAACAAUAAUGUUUUAUGGGAAUAACAAACUAUAUUCCAUGCCACUUUAACAGUUUUGCUUAAACUAAAGCACUGAAAUUAAAAUGUCAAUUUAGGAACAUAAUUAAAUAGAUCAAACUUCGUAUUGAGAUAUGCACCUGUGAGGCCAGAUUUUCACUUCUUCUUCAGAGUGCCUGAGGAUUAAGUCCACGAAGGCCCUGUGAGAAGUAUUUGCCGGAAAUGGUGGGGGAUCAGGAUCAACACUCCAAAGACGAUUCCUUGCAAAUCCAUGUUGCUCAAGAGAAUCAAUAGUCCCGAACUGCAGACCGCAAACAUUUGAGCUGGAAGAAAAGUAUACAUAAUAAUUGCAAAAACACAAAGACAAGAAUUGAAGCACAUACUUGAGGAAAACAGAUCUGUAUACCUCCACGAAUAGCAUUAGGGGGCUUAAAUGUAGCCUGCAGAAAGCACACAUAUUCAUUGAUAAGGCAAUCCUAUUGCUAGUUUUCUCCCAAAAUAAAAAAUCAAUAUACAUGGAUCAUUUCAAUUAGAAAGUUUUUGUCCUUCAAGAAAAUCAAGAAACCUUGUUUAUAUCAAAAGGUAAGUAAAACUGACAGUUCUUUCGACAUUUCCCUCCCAAAACUAACUCAUUUUUUAGAAGUGCUUUUUAAGCACUAACCUCUAUACCAAAUACCAUCAAGUGUUGAUCAAACAUGAAACACCAACUAAAUAACUAUAACCUGCAAGAAUUAAUCAACACACUGCAAAAUUAUGAGACCCUACAAGCAUAUGGUUGACUAAAUGGGAUAAAAAGAUAACAGGAUUACAAGUGACCAAUGUGGUAAAAGUCAUCCCAUGAACUAUUGCAUGCACAUUCUGGGACUAUCUCUGCUGAAGAUAAUUAAUAAAAUGCGGAAAAGGUAACUUUAAUUCUUUUAAAUCCGUAAGCUAAACAUCUUCUUACUAGAAUAAUUCUAAAACAGAUACCUUACUACUAAGGAAAAGCAACUGUUCCCUGAAUUCAUUCUUCCAAGAAGUGACUUGGCCUCCAUCCAGAUAGACCUGUUUAAGAGGAAAAAUGGAAAAUGAAGACAGAAUUUGUGUUGUCUAAGAGUGUAUUAAGUUUUUCAGGAAGACUGCCUAAGCAGCAAUCACAACUUUCUCUGUUGAUACGAUGGGAUUUCAAGAAACACUGAUUCCACUUUUAAGCAUGGUUAAUAUAAGGAAAAAAAUCAACAGACUGCAGAUAUUCAAACAAAAGAAUUAAUUUUCAGAAAUAAUUAUCAUCAGAAGAAAGAGAGUGAGAUAAAGAUUCUCAUAGCUUUAAGGACACAGAAAUGGAUUAUUAUCUAUACUAGUAUACUACGGUGGAGGAAAUCAAAGACUUCUCUAGUGAACUCAAUUUAUCAUCAUGCGUCCAUUUAACUAAAUAUGUUAACAUAAUAAAUCAAGAUCAACUUUAUUAUUUGUCAUCCAAUAGGAUGUGGUAAGCAUAUCAACUCACACGUUUUAAACUUCCCUGUAGGUGUAUAGAAAUAGUAAUAAUGAGCUUUAAUCGGCACCCUCAAGAUUGGUUUCUCAAGAAUCUUUCGGUUCAUACAUUUCACCUUUCUCUUGACAUCUUCUUUUGUCUUUUUUAUAAACACACUCGGUGCCAUUCACGACUACAACAAAGAAUGAAUUAUUCUUCAUUUUAAAUUCAAUGCAAACGCAACGCAUCUUCAGGAGAUUCAUAGAACACAUUCGGUCCCAUUCACGAGUACGACAAAAGAACGAAUUAUUCUUAAUAUAAAUUCAAUGCAAACGCAACGCAUCUUCAUCAGAUAUAUUAAGCAAAAAAAACCCGACCGUUACAAGACUAGAAAUCAUCACAGUUUCAUUAUACAAACAAUUAACAAUCACAAGAUCUAAAUCGAUGAACACAACAAUCAAAUGCAUAACACGCAAAACUCUGAAAAUAAAAGAAAAAGAACAGGUAAUCUUUUAAAUGCAGCUUAACAUUUUAACAAAGUUUUGAAGAUUCCUAACAAAAAAAAUAACAAGAAUAACUCUGGCUCCGAAAACAGAGACAAGAUUGAUGAGAUAAGAAAGCGCAAACGAAAGAUCGGAGGAAAGAGAGGGGAAACCUCAGCAGAGCAACCACGUAUCUCCCUUAAGAUGACUUUGUCGAGGCCAUUAACGCCUUUACAGUGCUCGACAUACACAUUCUCUGAAGCCAUCUAAUGAAAUUCUUCAAUUUCUGGAAAGAGAACAGAGGGGGGGAAAAUCAUAUAAAGGAGAGAAGGAAAGAGAGAGUGAGAAGUGGAGUAUUUCGGAGGAUGUUUGUUCGGAGGGGGUCUACUUAAUUAAGGAAAUAUCAGAUAAUUUAUUUUUAUUUCGUAAGUUUUUUUCUUUUCCUUUUAGUAAGUUUAUUUUAUUUCGGAACGUAACAAUAACGUGUGUUUACGGCUUUACGCUCCAUUAUUAUCCUUUUAAAAAACGACGGCAUCACGAUUGCUAGAAUAAGUCACAUUAACCAUAUUAUUAUCGAUGAAAAUAGGUAAACGAGUGAAGCUUCUAAUUUGAUUUUUUUACUAAAAAAAGCAAUUUAAUUUUUAUAUAUUUUAAAAUGUGUAAAUUAAUUCCUUCAUGAAAUAUUAAAUUUAUGUUCUAAAUUAUUUUUUCAGAUAAACUAUAAAAAUAGUCAUCCAGUUAUAUUUUUCAUUUUAUUAUGAUCAUUCGGCAAUUAAUAUUUUCGAUUUAGUUACUAAAUUUUUUUUAAAAUUACAUAUUUUAAUCGAGCUAAUGUGAGUAUUUUUAUUGGUCUAAUAAUACAAUUAGCCCUCUAAUAUUUACACCUUAAAUCAAUUUAAUUAUAAAUAUAGAAAAUUCAACAAAUUUAGCCCUUAAAGUUUACAAAAUUUGUCAUUUUAGUUCUUUAUAACUCAUUGAGUAACUCACGUGAGAUAUUAAAAUGAUAAAAUAGUACACUCUUACAAGACAUUUGCAUCAAUUUCUUUUAUUAUAAUUUGUGCGUCACAUUGGACCAAACCAAUUAAUUUGGACUCUAUCUAAAAUAAUUGAUUGCAUUACCACCCGAAAAAUAACGUUUUUAAUGCCUUUUAUUUUCUUUUGAAUCUUAAAUUUUUUUUUUGUAUUUUAUCUCAACUUUUUUAAAGUCAUUUUGCAAGUGACUUGAAAGAUGAUACUUUUUUUCUUAUUUUAAUUUAAAAAAAGACCUACAUCAGUUCAAAUGGACUAAAAUAAUUAAUUUUAAAAAAUUUAGUUACUAAAUCAAUAGAAAUUAUUAGUUGUGUGACAAAAUAGAACGAAAGACAUAGUUGCAUAAUUAUUUUUAUUGUUUAUCCAUAAAAAAUAAUUUCGACAUAAAUAUAACGUUCCACGUACCAUUUAACAAAUAAAAUUUAAAGAAUAGACUAAUUAGUACAUUUCAAAAUAUAUAAAAAUUAAUUUACUCUGUAAAAACCCAAAAUGCAAUUCAUCUUCUCUUAUACUUUUACCAUGAAAAUACUAUAUUUUAAAACCACCUGUUCUACUCCAAAAUAAUAUUAAAAAAAUUACCCCAUUUUAAGGUUAACUAACUUUUAAAAAUGAAUUUCGUAAAGUUUUAGAUGAUUCUAAUAAUUUUUUAUAUAAUUUUAGUAAUAUUUUUGGAGGCAGAAUUAAAUUAUAUUUUUUUAUAAUAAUAAAAAUAUAAUUUUAUAUUUUAAAAUUUUUAAAAGGUUAAAUCAAAUUUUUAUUAUUUUUAAGAGAAUAAAGUAUAAUUUUAUCAUUAGUAAUUUAAAAUUUUAUAAAUUAUAAAAUUUUAUCAAUUUAAGAGGUCAAAACCUCGAGUCUCUACUAAACUCUGCUAUUAAAUUUAUAAACUUUUUUUUAAGAGAUUGUCGCUCCAAUUUUCGUAAAAAAAAAAUUAGCGAAAAGAAAAACUAUAUACCAUCGUCGAUCAAAUAUGGUAUACACAAUAUAUAUAUAUUCAUAAUCUAGCAUGAAUUUUAUGUUGCAAAUCGUGAUGAUGCAUUUAAGAAUCAUUAAAUUUUGUGUCGUAUAUGGUAAAUGCAGCUAAAGUUUAUUUUUUAAACUAAAAAUAAUAAUAAAUUAAGGGAAAAAAGUUAAAACUACAGAGCAAGAUGAGGGAAACUAAGGCAGAUAAAUUUAAAAAUAUAUGAACCCCAAAAAAUUUUAUUUUAUAAUAUUUUAAACUUGUUUCUCGUUCAAAUAUUUUUAAUUAACUUAAAUUUUUUUAUUUUUGUAAAUUCAUUGAUUGAAUUGAUACCUCUUUUUCUCGUCCAACCAAUAGACAUAAACAGACAUUUUAACACCAUACGUAAUUUAGGACCAACGCUCCAUCAGAAGCAUGCAAUAAUGCUGUAUCCUCGUAUAUUAAUGCUGUAUCACACGUUCACUUAAGAAAUAGAUUUUGAUUUGUCGGCCACCUUUAAGAUGCCGUGCUUCACAUGAUUUCAUCACAUAUAUAUACCGUGUUUGGUUUAUGAGAAAAUGAAACAUCAUCAAAUUUGAUUUGAUUGCUUUGGUUAAAUGUAGUAUUGUUUCAUAUACAUACUGAACUGAAAAUCAAAGUCAUUUACUCUGAUGUGAUGUUGCAUACCUUCUUUUUCUAUAAAGGUUUACUGUUUAAGGUUAAAGUUAUAUUUCAGUAUUUAUAUAUUCUAUAAAAGAACAUUGUACAACAAGUAGGGCAUUUGGGGGAAUAAAUUUUCUUUUCAGCCAAUACUGUAAAACAACCUAUAUAUGAUACAAAAAGAGUAUCGUGCUACAAACCAGAAGCUUAAUCCAGUUAUGCAAUCACCUUUAAAAUUCAGGGUCCAAUAGAUUUACAAUUCGAAUCUCAACCUCUACAACUCCUUUCCACCUUUCCUUUUCCUUAGACUAUGACCUCAUUUGUAGUAGGUCAUAACUGUUUCGAAUCGUCUCUUUCUAGCUUCUGUUAGGAUCAUAUGGUUUAAGAGCUCAGUUCUACCUCCAUCCGUGCACCGGAUGGAAAUAAAAUUACACCUGAACUUAGAAGGUUAAGAUAUGUGCAGGCUGUAGAAGUAAGAAACAAGAAGAGAGGCAACAGAUGAGCAAAGUAAUUCAGAAACUAACCUGAGCGUUAUCUGUUUUAUAUUUUUGCAGUUCUUCUUGGGCACAAAUGAGCCUACAUACAACAAACCAAGGUUCAGACUAGUUUUUAUGUUUUGAGAUGGUAAAAUUAAGAAGCAAAAAGAGAACAGAAUGCACUAGACAUUGGAAUACCUCCACUGUAACUCGGAUAUUUCAUGAAGCAACUCCUUCUCCCUAUCAUGAGCUACUUCCAACUGCAAUUCAAGAAAAAUAUGUUUCCCAAAUGAAUUGUGCAAGACGAAGAUCUAGAUUCGGGAUCAUUCAUGCAACCUCAAAAUCAUGUAGGUCGAUGAGGGGAUUACAGAUGAUGUAAGAUAAAGUUGAACGUUAUAGCAUAAUAAUGAUUGACAGCGAACCAACAAACCAAUGCCAAAGGGAAACAUGGGAACUCCACUGUAGAGCUUUCGUAGAACCUGUUGGAAACACACACAAACUACUACUUCCUGCUUUUCGGCAACACAUUUCGCUCAAUUCAUUAUUGACCUUCACAUUGCUCCCUUAUCUCCUCCUCUAUAAGAAUUCUAAAAUGAUUAAAACCCAUUUUUUCUGUUCAAUUUUCUAAGUAUAAGAUUUAUUGUAUGUUCCCUUAAGUUGUCGACAACUCAUCCUAAUUAAAGAUCCCACACAUGUAUUCCAAAAUUUCAAUUCAUAAAGUGCAGGACUCUGCGUUCACAAUUUUUUUACGGCAGAGACUAUAUUUUUUGAGAUUACCUUGGCUGAUUUUUAAUGAUAGAACCCUAUACGACGUACCAAAGAUUUCUCUGUGACAGUUGAGACAUUAGCUGGCAUGGAAGCUCCCUCGAAUGGGCGGUUGGCUAAAUAAUGGAGAAAUAGAAAAUGUAAGAUCAUCUAAUUUGCAUUCAUUAAAGAGAGGAAUAGGAGAGUUUUGAGGAGUGUUAAUUUUAGCACACCUAUAGAGUCACCAGCAGAAACUUGCUUCAUCAGAUUAAGAAUAUGAUCCUGUUGAUGAAAGCAAGCCAAGUAAAGACAUUAGCUUUACAGAUACAGUGGUAAAAUGGCAAAAAUAUGUGUCUAACUUAUACCCUUUGAAGAAUGUUUGUCUGCAAAACGGAUUGCAAUAAUGGGAAAAGUUGAUUGGAUGAAGAAGCUGAUGGUGUGGCAACAGGAGUUGAUGAUGAAGCAGCAUCAGAUGGUGCUGCUGCUGACACUAAAGGAUGUGGGUCCAUCAACUGCAUAACCCGUAACACUGACAUUAUAAAGAUUAUAAGAAAAUAAGUAAGAUUAUAGAUAUGUUUAUUUUUUCCAGGCAUACGAGGCAUCUUUGUCUAGUUAGGUUGAUUGAAAAACUACACAUGCAUCCAAGAUCAAUUAUCACUUCCUUCUUGAUGCUUGAACACAAGCCACCUACACAAUGGUUCAUGUGGACUCUGAGAUUUUCUGAGUGUGAUAUGUGAUGCUCAAUCAGCUCUCAAAGCAGUCAUAAGGUAAGGUUAGUUUUUACAUAAGGUUUAGAGCAUCCCUUUAGCCUGCUUUUCCUUGAAUCUCUGGAAAAGCAGCUUUAAGCUCCCCUUUCUUCUUUACUAAUACUUGUUAGGCUUACUUAUUGUCCGAAAAUUUUUUGUUACGGAUACAGUUCAAUCUCUUAUAAAUCAAGUCAGAUACCUAAUCAUGCAUUUACUAGAGAACUACAAAAUGGGGUAAUAGUUCUAAUGCUGGGUGUAAAAGGCAAUUUGGCACAUAAGGCUUUGCUUGGUAGAGUGGAAAGAAAAUUGGAAAGACAAAAAAUUGAAGAGGUGGAAAAAUAGAAAUAUGGAAAAUAUUAUUUCCAAAGGUGUGCUUGGUAGGAAAGAUAGAAAAAUGAAAAGAGUAAGGCUAAUUUAUAUCCCUUAUGAGAAAAAGAAGCAAGAGCCAGACCAGAAAGAUAUAAAUCACCUUCUCUAGUUGCACAUUUUCAGAGGUAACCUUAAAACGACCCCUUUGCUGAACAACAGGUGGCUUUGCUUUCUCAUCUAGAUCAUCACUGUUCAUUGCUGCAAUUACACUUUCGUUACUUGGGAAGUAAAUCAACUUGGAGUGGCAAGAGAGCAAAAUAAUCAAAUCAACCAACCAAAAGACAAAAACUGGAUUUUUGCACGACAAAAGCUAGAGAGUGAACAAUUAACACUUGCCUGAUGAUUUAGUAGAUGCCUUAGAAGGAAGCUCUGAAAUACUAUCCUCCUUUACUGCCACUCCAUUGACACCAGAAAUAUUCUGGGACUGGUUUUGCUUAUCACUGGAAAACUUCAUAAAAUGAGUGAAUGUUGAAAAAAUAGUAUGAUAAAAGGAUGACAAUAAUACUAAUACUACGGUUAAUGUUGUGUAAAUGAAUUGGAUGGGAUGAUAGUUUAAUAGAAGUUUGGAUAAAUGUUUCCCAGAUGUCUAAAGAUUACCCCUUGUCAACUCUCUGAUUCACACAACUCGAACCAUAUGGGUAAAUAUAGAUCACAUGAUUUGGCUUUUAUUCUAUCAAAUUGGAAAUCAAGCAUCUGGUAUGCCCAUGAUAAUCAUAGGCCAAGAUUUACAACAACAAUUUCAUUGCUGACAUAAAAAGCAGGACAUCAUGCUUUAUCUCAAAGGGACAACAGGCAAUGAAUGGAGUUUGCAGAAGUAAUUCUUGGGAGAGGAACUUUACACAAUAAGACAAGCAAAUUAAGUUGCCACACUACUGGUGCAACAGAGAAGUAAGCAUUAGAACCAAGAAAAUUUAAAGAAUUAUGCAGGUAAAGUAUCAAACCUUUCUCCUUUAAUUAGAAGAAUUAUGCAGGCAAAGCAUUAAACAAGCAAAAUAAAGUAUCAAACCUUUCUGGUGUAGGGGUGCUCCCUAAAGUUGCUAACCUUUGAAGAGAAGGUUUGGUCAUGUUAUCAAAAGAUUUUCCAUUGAGUUCCAAAACAUGCUUUUCACUUGGAUUACUUUCAAGAUGAUCAUCAUGACAAAGGGAAAUCACAUUCAGUUCAUUGGUGGGACUAGCAACGCUCGAGUCAUCAUCAGAUCUUUCAGAUCUAGCUCUGGAUGGUCAAACACAGACAUAAUUACAUUUCUUACAGUAAAUGAAGACUUAGUUAAAGUAUGAGACCUGAUGUGACACUUCUGGGGAAAGAAGACUAUUCAAAAUUUAAUUUAGCACAGGCAUGAUACACUAUGUUCUUAUAACUUCCUAUACUUGAACAAAAGAGACAAAAAAUUUAAAAAAGCAUGAAUGUCAGAUAAUUAAUAACAUACUUGGCAAAAUUUGUUGUUGGUUCAACAGCUGCAAAAGAAACUGGCUGAUUCAGGACCAGAUCAUUAUCUUCCUGUGGAAGCUAGACCAUCAUGAACCACCCAAAAGGGAUCUUGUAGGAAAGAAUAAAUGACCAAGCACAAGGCAUACAGAACCAAAAAAAAUACUAAUAAUAAUGAAGUACUUUAUAUGUGGCCUGAGAAGAGGUGUGCGGUUCUGAUUGCUUCUCUUGUCCAUCAAGAGUAGACAAAGAACUUGAACUCCCUCCCUGGGUAGUUUCGGAUAUAACAUCUUCAUCCUGAAUCUGACGAAACAGAAAAAAAGAAGAAUAUGCCAAUUCCAAAGAAUUUGAAAACAAAACAUAGAAGUUUCAUGUAAAGGAUGAAAGGAAAGAAACCAUUACUGUACCAGGGAAGCCUGAGCUUUCACAUCUUCAAGAUUGAAAUUCCAUUCACUUAUCCCACGUUUAUAUUCAUUCUGCUCGUUAUUACAAAAGCAUAGAAAAAUCAUGAACUUAAGAUCAUGAAAUCCUAUCAGUAGCCAUAGUAGCAGAAUAUAUUACAUCCAUGAGCAGGAAAGUAGAACAUGCAUCCAUGAUAGAACAGAGUAAAUUACAUAUUGGUGGAAGUAAAAAUCCACAAAGCGAACAUACACUUACAAAUUACCAAUCAAAGUUAAUAAUAUAAAUUGCAGUCUAAACCCAUACUCUAGUAUUGACUUCAUGAUCUAACCAAAAGUUUUAAUUCAAUAAUCAUGACUUAACACAAGAACAUCAUAAAGACCACUUGUUUCAAGUUUUUAAAGUUCUAACCUGCGAUAGUUCUUCUUUUUCACCAUCUGGCAUUUUCUUUUGAGCAAGCAUAUCUUCUUCUUUUCUCUAUGUUUGAAAAUGAUAGCAUUUGUGAGUAUAACAUAGAAAUUUAAACAUAACGGGAGGCUUAAUGAUACAAACUAAGAACCAUAUGCCUAAAAGUAGCAUGCUAACCUUCAAUGCUUGGAUACGAUCACCAAGAGCAGGCAAUCCAUCUAGAAGUGUUCGUGAUAUAUAAUCACUUGACCUCGCUUGCUUAAAAAAAGAAUGUUUUAAUAAUUUCUUCGCUGAAGGUCUUUUUGAAGGAUCUUUCACCAAGCAACUAGCAAUCAUUUGCUUGAAAGACUGAAGAGAAAAGAGAAACACAAGAUGAACACAUCACUUUAUCUAAUUAAAUCCGACUAUUGAGAGUUUUGGAGUGAUUAAAGCUUACCUUAGAAAACUUCUUAUCUCUUUCAUAAUCCAGGCCAGGAGGUGCAUUUUGCAAGGUCAUAAGCAAUACCUAAGAACAACAGAUAGGUUUUUAAAUCAGAAUAACUGUUAAGGUCCGGCAAAUGAUCAGGAUUAUGCCAAAGGGGAUCACAGAAGCUAUCCACCUUCAUUGGAGGAUAUUUUGAAAAAGGAGCAUGGCCAUGAGCAAGCUCUAGUGCAGUUAUACCGAAUGACCAGAUAUCCGCCCUACAUGGAUUUUGCCAAAUAAACAUCAACAUGAUGCCACCUAAGGAGCAUAAAUAUACUUUUUGAGAAAACAAUAGAUUUACUUGAAAUCAUAACCAUGAAGUUGCUCCAUAACCUCAGGUGCCAUCCUGAAACAAUGGAGAGGAAAUUAGUCCACAGAUUAUAAGAAACAUCGAAAGUUUGCCACUCUUGUAAGUCCAGUGAGACAUCUCUUCAAAAUUAAGAUGCUCUAUGAACAGGAUUAGCUGGUUAUUCUGUAAUCUACAUUUCUAUGGGUUGAUAAGGAUAUAUCUAGCCUGUGCUAUACAUAAAAUAUCUGGCACUCAAGAAUGCUAUCUAAGAACUAGGAACUAAUUGAAAUUUAGACAUGAUAAUGUAAACAUACCAGCAAGGUGUCCCUACAAAUGUAUUCCUCAGGCGUUGCCUAUCACCUGAUUCAAAAAUGCAAGCUGAAACACCAAAGUCCCCCAACUUGAUUCCACCGCGGGAGUCAAUAAGAAUAUUCCCAGCCUGUUGAACAAGAUCAUUGAGGAACAAAGAAACCAAGUACUUCAUUUUUACAUAAGAAACAAAUAAUUAAGCUUUAAUCAAAAUUCUAGGAGCUCACAACAAAAUAAUCAAGAUAUUCCACUUGAAGUUGCAAUGAAGAAAUAAUCAACUCAAACAUAUAUUGCACAAAUCAGAACCUCUGUUGUAGCAGAAAUACUAUCUUCACUUGCCCUAACGAUUUUCAGUAUGUAUGCCUUUUGACUAGCAAAUAACUUGCUCAAUCGUAGAGAAUUAGAGAUAAAAUAAACUGAACCAGUACGAGCUUGGUUUUAACCCUCCCCCCCGGCCCAAAGAAUUACAUGUGUAUAGCUCAAAUGAUGCUACAAACUGUAAUAAUCACUAAAAUAUAAUAGCACACACAAACACAAUAGCUUUAAAUCAUGAUGAAGACCAAAUGCUUACUUUAACAUCCCGAUGUAUGUGCCCAUGAUGAUGAAGAUACUCUAAACCUUUCAACACUUCACGAAGUACUGUUGCUAUAACAACCUCCUCAAAACCAUCUGGAUAUGCAGCCUUUAGUAUAUGAAGACAAGAUCCUCCAGACAUGUAUGGCAUGACAACCCAUAGAUUAUGAUCGCUAACAAAGGAGCAAUGAGAUUUAAGAACAUUUGGAUGGUCAACCAAGACCAUUGUUUGUGCCUCACGAGAAAUGUUAUUCUACACAGGCACAAUACAAGGAUGAUAUCAAAACAACUACCAAUUUUUAUUAGCUGAAGCUGAACAGGAAGAAAAAAAACAAAAUCCCUUUAAAAGAAGAUAGAACUAGUGUUAAUAACUUCGGAACAAUCAUGUUUGAUGCAAAAGCAUUCAGCCAAACUCUAAACAUACUAGCUAUGUUUGGAAUGAAAAAAGCUUUGCUCCAAAGCUGAUCUUAUGAAAAUGAUUGAUCUCUAACUUCUAUUAAUCCUACGCAUAUUUCAAAUGAUUGAUUUAAUUUGAGUUGACCAAAUGCACCAAUAUCUACAUCACGUAUUGAGGGAGAAGUGCCUCUUAUACGUGAACUUAAAUCUGUGUCCCUUAGCAUUCUACAUCAGCAGAUAUUAAAAAUCAAUAUCUACCAAAUCAAGAAGAAAAUGCUUAGCCAAGCUCAAGUAGGUGAUCAAGAUUGUUUGAAUAUCGUUGCAGAAUGUUAACUAAUUGUAUGCCGUAUCAACUAUGAAGAAAGCACAAACUUAUUGAUUUUCAAGUGAAGUUUAGAAACAGGGUUCAAGCAAAUAUCAAUGAUCCUUUUUAAAAAAAAUGAAAUCUCAUCAAAUUGCUGACCGAUCUUCAACAUAAGAUAUAAUGGAUCUACAGAAAUUCUUCAAAGUAGUUCAUCAUUGUGCAGCACAACAGAUAAAAAGAAGCAACGGUAAUUUUAUUUUAUUUUUAUAUUGAUCCAGUUUGGCACAACCUUUAGCCCGAAUCAGAUAAGAAAUGAUCAAAACCAAAUUUCAGUAAAUGAAGAACCAAACCACCACCCCCCAGAAAAAAUGAUAAUAACUUAAAAGAGAAAAACAAUAGCAGAAUCGGAAUGAAGGGAUUACCAGAUCACAGUUAUCACGUUCAAAAUCAAGAAUUUUUAUUGCAACAACUUCAUCAAAGGGUAUACAAUGAGCACGGCGCACAGAAGCACUAACACCCUGCCCGACCUCCUCAUGCAGAAUAUAAUACUCCGGUCCAAUUGGAUACUUCUUCUUCUCCAUUAUAAUUUAGACCUCUCCUUCCCCUUCACUGUCACAUAAACUCAACUUUCAAUCGUCUUCCAGCAUUAAAAGGCAAAACUUGAUAACAAAUCUUAAAAGGGCAUAAAGUUUGAAACAAAGCCAUGAUAACAAUAAUAAAAAAUGAUUUGUUGCGGUCUAUUAGGAAAAAACAUGUAUGUUGAAAAAAAAAAUCAAGCAAUGGGAGUAUUGAAUCAUAUACAAGCGAGCCUCGUUCUCUUAAAUAGCAAGCAAAGGCUUCCAAAGUCUAGAAAGAGAUCCCAAAUGGAAUCCAAUUUUUAAUAACAAUAUAAAACCAAUAAAACAUUUUAAAACAAAUAUAGAAUAUAAAUAUUGUGAUUUUUAUUCACGUAUAUACCGUAUCCAAUCUUCCAAAAAAAGAAUCAAUAAACAAACCUGAAAUAUCUUUUUCAAACCCACAUCCCGAAAUCAAUCUGCAUAAAAAGAAAGAAAGAAAGAAAGAUGAGGCGUAUUAUAAUAAAACAUUGAAAAGGCAUGUAUAAAAAAGUUAAAGGAAGAAAAAAUGAUUACCGUGCAAUGUAAUGAGAUGAGAGAAAGAGAAGUGAAAAGAAAGGAAAAGGAAAGGAGAUAAAAGAGAGAAAGGGGAAGGGAAAAGAGGCAUUGAUGAGAUGAAAGGGUUUAAUUGUUGUUUGGCUUCGCUUUCCCGUGAAAACAAAGAGCUAAAGGAGAGAGAGAGAAAGAUAGACAGCGAGGCUCUCGGAUCGCCGCUAAAUAUCGUUUGCAUGCAGGAAUCCCGCCACUUGUGUUUCUCUUUCUCUCUCUUUCUCUUUUAUUUUCUUUGAUUUAAGCAACAUUAUAAGCUAAUAAUCAUUAUUUUCUUUGAUUUUUUCUUCAAAUUGAAUUUUAAGAGUUUGAAUUGGUUUGUUAAGCUUGAUCGAGUUUUUCAAUUUUUUUUUUAAAAAUUAUAUAGUAUCUUUAUGUUAUUUUUCAUUAAUUUUGAAAAAAAAUCACUAAUCAAUUUUUUUUGAAUAUAUUAUUACUAUAAUUGUUCAGAAAAUUUCAUGUGUGACAUAUUUAUUUACUCCAAAACGUUUUGUAAGGAUAUACAGGUCCAGGAGAUAUAUAUGAUGAGGUUUAAGGAAUUUUAAAUAGGAUAAUUUCGUUAUUUCAUGAGAAAUUUGGAAUAUUUUUCUGGAUAAAAAUAUUCAUAUGACAUGGUUUAUGCGCAAAAAUAACUAAAAAUUAUAGGAAUAUUUAUAUAUGCAAUGGGUUUUGGGUGGGAGGUGGAGUGUAUAUAUUAGUGUUGGGACACAAGUUCCUCAGGAGUGUUAAUGUGUUAUUAUAUAUUAUGGAUGGUUCGUCUGAUAAAAGAGUGCAUGACCGUAAGAUUUACAGAGGCUUGACUCACUCAGAAUGUUUGAUUGAAGCAGAUGAUUAACAGAAAAAGAGGUAGUACUGGGAUGAAGAAGGAAGGUGUCUCCUAUGGUAUGUUUGGACUGAUUGGAGUUUGAAAGCCUUUUCCGCUAGCAGGCUGUUUAGCCUAUGAUUGAUACUGUUACGCUCUACAACAACUAACUGGGCUUCAAGCCCAAAUAAGAUCCUGUUGUUCAGCAUGUUGCUCCCAACUCUCCUACAUUUCACUCAACCUCUUCUCUAGCCAAUUUUUUCAUUUUUCAUGUUUCACUGCUGUGUGAAGGACAUAUAAUUCCAGAUGCAUGAGAUAUAUUUUCUAUGAUGUUUUCAGGCACGUACUAGACCACUAUUUUCAAUUUUGAACCGACCGGACCAGCCUCUAGCGUUACAACAAAACGAAGCACCCUUUAUCCAACUGACCCCCACUUCAAGGGUAGUACUAAGUGGUCAAGUGGAUCCCCAGUAAAUGUUUGUGACUAAAGGAAGAUGAGAGAUCCAUUAUAUAUGUCCUUGCUGCUAUCCUAUAACCUUUGCUACCUUAACUCAGUUUCCAUGUGCUCCACUUCUAUAACUGGUGUGCAAACGCAUGCAUGGACGCCCCCGUUGGCUGCUACAUUAUUGGCAAUCCAGCUGAGUAUUGAGGAUGACUGUAACCUUUCUCAACCUUCCUGGUAUUAAGAAACUUUUGCAAUCAAUAAUGUUUUCUUUUCUGUUGGAAAUAGCUAUAUAUGAGAUUCGUACUAAAGUCAUCGUCGGCUAGCUAGAACCAAUUUCUUCCGGUGUACUUGCCUGAGAAAUUAAUAGACAGAUUAAUGUAAAACCACCUGCAUUAAUUAAUUAAAAUCUUUAAGCAAGUUGUUUUUCUUUUCGUAGUUGGGAAUAUAUAUAUGUAUUAUUCAUCCAUUUUCCUUUCAACUAUAAAGGGAAGGUCUUGGAAGCUGCAAUAAGAGUAAUGACAAAUUGACUUAACUAAAAAAAGUCUAACUUGCACAAGCCCCAGAGGAAUUCAGAACAUGGUGCCAGCCUAAUCGAUGGAUUAGGGAUUCUGCAAGGAAAAAGAAACUACAAAAUAAAUUAAGCCCAACUUGAUUGUAGUUGACACUUGACAGGGUAAAAGUCAAACCCAAAACCUCGCUGAGUUUAGAGACAUAGAGCAUAUAAAAAAAGGCCAGCUACCUGAUACAAAUUAAGAAAAAAGAAUAUAUGUUGUGGUUAACUCCAGGAAUUUGCACUAAUCGUCCAUUCCAGCAUUAGUUUUCCCCAUCAUUUUACUAUAUAAUCAAAUUAAUUAGUCAUAUCUUUUGAACCAACCGCAUAUAUAAUUAUAUAUAAUCAAAAUUCUUCCCUCAACUUACUUUAGAACAUUGGGGGGAAAAAAGUCAAUUGGUUGCAAUUUUCUUAGAGCUCACAGGUGCCCAUAAAUAGACGUAAGACAUACAACUAAUCCUUCCAUGGUUAGUCUCUCUCUCUCGCCAUUUUAUGAGCUUAAAUCCAAAGAGAGAGACCUUAAGCAGCUCAAGGGGGAAAGUUGCAUUAUCUCUAAGAAGGAAGGGAUCUUCAGGAGAGUGAAGAAAUGGGAUAUGUGCUGGUGGUUUCACUUCCCAUGGUGAUUCUGCUCAUCAUGUUGAGCUUUUGUUGCUUUGUAAUGGGAAGGAACAAAGGGCGACAAGAAGGGCGUGCAUUGGCUGCUCAAGAACUUGGGAUUAAUCCUCAGUCACAGGGAAUGGUUUCGGUUGUAGAUGGUGGAAUGGUGCCCCCAGGGACCCCUCCACCACCACCUCCGCCUCAUCAACACCCAGCAUUCCCUUCUGUUCCUUCCCCUCAUCAACCUGCAUUCCCUUCUCCUACACCUCAUCAUCCCAAUACCCUCUACUUGAAGCAACAAAAUGGCAUGAUCGCUGCUUAAAAGUUCUCAUGUUUUUUCAUGUCGUUAUGAACUAAACAAGCUCUUCAUAUGUAUCCUUGUUGAUUAAUUUUAACUACAUUUGAGUUUGGUGUAGUUUCUUGGUUUAAUAACUAAUUUUCUUAGGGCUAUAUGUUAUUGUAAUCGAUUGAAUUUUUCAAUUUUCUUUUUCUUCCUUUCCUUUUCUUUUUGGUUUGAUUAAUUCAUCUCAUUUUGUAUUGUAUAGAUUUUUAUAUAUCCAUUCGCAUCAUAUGUGUGUCAUAGCCCUAGCCACCUACAAUUCUUGGUAAGCAGCAAUUUUUGUUUCUGAGUAUCGGUAUUUACUUCCCUCAAAAUUUAAGGGGAAAAAAAGAAGAAAAGUUGGCCAAUACUAAUAGAGCAUAAAUAGAAAGAGCCUUUGCAAGUGGAGUGGAGUUGUAUCUUAAUAAAAAUAAUACUACUAAACUACCGUAAAGUAACAUCCUAGGAGAAUCAGAAUGUAGUGAUUUGGCAGACAAAUUAAAGACCUGUUCAUGAGCACUUAACUCAGCGUUACUACACUUUUGUCCACUGGAAAUUGAGAAAUGCCUGCAUUGGGUCGGAAAGUUUAGCCGUGGAGGCUUGAACAUUAAGCUGCAUACAGUUAGCAAACACAUUAAAAAACACCUUUCUUUCUCUUCCACUCUGUCCUUCACAGAAUCUGAACCCUCACUUUAUUUAAGAAGCCACAAGAAACCUCUUUAUAAAUAUAUUUCUCCUCUUUACAAAGAGAUUUCAUAGGGAAAGCUCAAAGUAAAGAUGGGUUUGGUUGUAAUCAUCUCUCUACCACUACUUAUCCUCUGCAUAUUACUUGCUGCGGCAUAUUACUUCUUCAGAAGAGCUAAACGGCGACAAGCUACCAACCCUCAGAUUUAUGGGGCACCAGCUCCGCCGCCUGGUGCACCUCCUCCUCCACAUACCAAGCCUGACAACUUGGCCAGUGUUUGACAGGUUCCAAGAAUGGAUUUUUUAUCUCUGGGAUAACUUUAGAAAAGAAAAUUCCCAUCCCUGUACUUUUUUUUACUGUAGACAAGUUUUUUGUUUUUUUGUUUGUUUGGUUGCUUAUAUUUGUGUGAAUUUGAGACAAACUACGUUUGGUUACCUGUGUUGAAAUGAUAUUAUCUCAUCAGGGUUAAGUUUAGGGUUGCCUUUGUCAUUUGAUUUUAGAUUGGAUUUGUUUGUGUUGCCCGCCCUGUGCACUUUUGUCACAUGAAAAAAAAUGGUUGAAAUGGUGUAUUUGCAGUAUCCAUUAUGUCUCGAGUUUAUGUUUUUUAUAUUCAAAUUGAGGUUGUUCAUCUAAUAUCAAUAUCAAUUAAAAAUGGAGGGUUCCAAUUUAACAGGUUGAAAUUACAAAAGCUAAAAAUCUAUUUUCUGAAGCAUAAUUUAGCCUGAACGUUUGAUGUUGCUUAAAUCAGUUAUUUUAUGAUACUUUGCAGAUAACUAAGCACAUACAUUAACCAGAUUAAAAUAAACAGUUGGUUGCUUUAUCAAAAGAACAAUCACAGCACACUAUCUCAUAGAGAUAGUACUUAAAAAAAUCAAAACUUUCUACCGUGAUUUACACUCGAUUAGAGAUAUGUAUGUGGGAGCACAAGCGGUGUGAGUGGGUAGACGCUUACAGUUCUUUCUCAAGAAACCACUUAAACAAUGUUUCACUCGCAAAUUACCCAUCAUGUAUGCCAGGCCAGAUUUUCUUGCCUCUCUCAGAUCCUCCAGUUGCUUGCUGCAACUUACCCCUCGAAAUCUCUCUGCUUUGUUUGCUAGAACUACACCCAUCUCUAUUUUCAAGCCUAAAAUCCUUAACAUCGUCUGGUGAGCUUUGAUUGCUACUUAUUCAGGGCAAGUGGCCUUUCAAAUGCUCGAAGUUGACCAUCAUCAGGGUCACAGUUCUAACUUUCUAUCAGAUGAUUCUCAAAAUCAUGACUAUCCUUCCUUUCUUUGAUCUUCAUAAUAGUUACCUAACAACACGUUGAGUGAAACAGAACUUUGCAGAGCCAAUGCAUCUGGUAAAGACAUCAAGCAGAAAUAGAGCACGGCAAAGUCGGGAAUUUUUUGAUAGGAUACAACUGUUAGAUAAAAUGGCAGCAACAACCAAACAAUGAAACACUAAGAGCAUAAGCUCUUCAAACAGCAAGCAGAAAAACACAAAGCAUCAAGAGCAUAAGCUCUCGGUUGACAAGCAAAAGGAAAAAAAAAUAUGUUUGAUUGAAACCGAAUGAUAAUACCAUUUUCAUUUCAUUUCAAAAUAUAGAGUUACAAAAGUGGAAUGUUUACCUAACAAUUUCCACUAAAUUUGGCAACUUGCCAAUUAAUAAUUAAAAAGAUGAAAGCAUUAUAGCUAUCAUUAUGAAAGCAUAUUAGCUAUUAUUAUGAAACCAAGUUGCAUAUCAACUUGUUUCAAUUAUAGCUAUCAUUACAAAUAUUAAAAAUAAACAAAAUGCACCAAGUUGCUCCUUUGUUGCUUUACAGUCCAUGUUCAACAACAACUUAGUAACUAGGACAGUGAUAAAAUUUUCACUAUUUCUCUUGUAAGAGAAUAUUAAACACCUGGCUCUGGUUGCCCCUUUCACUUUGCCCCUGCAAGCAGGUCGUAACGAUCAUUACACUAAUCAUCGCUAGGCCUAAAGAUUUAUUUUGGCACAUCAUGUUAAUUUUAUGUCUAAAGAUUUUGCAUUUUGUGACAAAGGAAUGGAAUUCCCAUCCCAUGUUAAAUUGAUGUUAUGUUUUGAAAUUACGGGGUUUUGAUAUUUUUGAGUUCCCCCUUUGAAUGAUGUCCUGUUUUAUUGUAACCAAAGAUAUUGCUACAGUUACAUGCAGUAGUGAGUAGGGUCUGGCUCAUGCGCAACACACGAACUAACGACAAAGCUCCCAAAUUUGAGAGGAUAUGGAUAUAAGAGAAUCUGAAACUCACAACCAACAGUCGCCCUUUAACCAACCACAACCAUCCAUCUCAGCUUUCUUAUCCUUCCUCCCACCACUAGUCUCUCCCUUACCCGAAUCUAAAAGACUAAAACCGAUCCCUCACCUUCCUCUCUUUCUUCAUCAUCAGCAAAGAAAUAUACCAGAAAAUCAAAAAGAAGAAGAAAAGAGAUCCCCAUGAUGUCUCUUACAAUCCCAACUAAUCUCUCAAAAUCAAUUUUGAAGCCAAAGCUGGAGACCCAAGUGAUCCCCAAGGCUUCAUCCAGAUCAUUGAUUGUAUGCUCCUCCAGCAAUCCUUCCUCCUCCGACAAAUCGGCUUCAUCACUCCAGGCCUUCUCAGCGGCUCUCGCUCUUUCUUCCAUCCUUCUUUCGGCUCCACUCCCUGCUGUUGCCGACAUUGCGGGGCUCACUCCUUGCAAAGAGUCCAAGCAAUUCGCCAAGCGCGAGAAGCAGCAGAUCAAGAAGCUGGAAUCCUCGUUGAAGCUUUACGCCCCCGAUAGCGCACCGGCUCUCGCCAUCAAAGCCACCAUCGAGAAAACCAAGAGACGGUUCGACAACUACGGCAAGUACGGCUUGCUCUGCGGCUCCGAUGGGUUGCCUCAUUUGAUAGUGAGCGGCGAUCAGAGGCACUGGGGUGAGUUCAUCACGCCCGGCCUGUUGUUCUUGUACAUCGCUGGAUGGAUCGGGUGGGUCGGAAGGAGCUACCUUAUUGCUAUAAGCGAUGACAAGAAGCCAGCCAUGAAGGAGAUCAUCAUCGAUGUGCCUUUGGCUACCGGUCUCAUCUUC